rnacentral:lncRNA from 1 species
UCUUGAUUCAAUCGCACCUCAUUGAUGGUAGCAGUCAAAGCUCGAAGAGCAGCAGCCUGUUCAUCCAACUGUUGUUGGAAUUUUUUAAAUAUGUCACUAUUAUUAUCACCUGUAGACAUUUUUUUUAAAACCUGCAAAACACUUAACACUCAAAAAUAAAAGUUAUCAAACCUCACCGUUAAUCACUCAAAAAGAAAAAAUCAAAUUCUCAAUGAGGUCGAAUUCAAUCUUGUGAGUUCUUUAUCAGAGUUUAUAUCAACCAAUUAGAGAGUGUGAACCAAACAACCAAAGAAUCCUAAUUUGCACUAGGAUGCCAAAAACUGACGAGACACCAAUUGAUUCGUGUUGCACCGAGGAAGAAGUUGUGCACACGUUUAAAUCCUACUAACACAAGAAACAAGAAGGUGUUAGAUAACGUAAAGGAAGAAUAAAGGUAAACAAAUGAAAACCUACAGCUAAGAAUCAAUAAAAAUUACUGAAAACAGAAAACCCGAAAAACUGCGGAGUAACUUGACAACUUCGUUCGAGGUGUUCCCGAUCUCCAAAAAUCACGAAAUUAAAUCUGGAGUGUCCUUAUAUAUUUAAUUUUUGAUAUGGAAAUUUUGGGCACCAAAUUCAACCCGCUGAAUCUUUUUUUAAAUUUUUAUUGAAUUUCGUCUUUUUUGAUUUUUUGACUUUUUUGACUGAUUUUUUUGCGGGAAUAAUUUUUUUGUAUUCAAUCACAGUGCCAAAAACAUGUAUGUAAAAUUUCAGAUGAAUAGGACAACGUUUACCCACUCAAAUGAAUUUUUUUUGAACAAUUUUUCUGGGUAAAACUGCUGUUUAUGCUUUAAAAAAUAGAGAUCAGUUUAGAAAUCAACCAAGAACACCCAAAACGCCCAAAAUCUGAUACCAAAUGAUAUAGGGUUGCACGCGGACCAAGAUCGAGUUGCCAAGUCACGGGAAACUCCUACGAAAGCUCUAAACGAACAGAUCUGAAAAUUAAAACAAAGAACAAGAUUAAACUAAUCAGAUCUGAAAUUAAAUCCCCAAAUUCAAUUAAAUGAGCAGCACGGAACAAAGAACGAAUGAAUAAAUGUAUUCGGAGUUCAAGAAGAUGAAGUCGAACUACAAUAGUGAAAUCCCACAAGCCGAAUCUGCCCAAGAACAAACCGACAAUAAAAACCCCAAAUUCCAGCAACUUGAUUUCCCCAAAAUCAGAAUGUAUUAAUCGACAAGAACCCUAGGAUUUAGGGAUUUUGGUUCGAAACUUUACUGCCCAAAACUAGACCGAUUAAAUGGAAGGAUCUUGGAGUUAAACAAAGCUUAAACACAAGCAAGAACAGCAAAAAAAGAUUAGAUAAUGAAUCGGCACAAGUAGGAAUAAAGAAACAAAUCGAAACAAUAAGAAAUAAAGAAAAGUCUUAAGAACCCUUGAAUUCCCGAAAGAAUUCACAAAUUCCUUCAAACGGCUCUAAUCUCCCCUCCAAAGAAUAUCGAUGGCAAGAAGAAGGUUGAAGAUGGCUCCCACAAUCAAAAGAUUGUUAAAAAAACUUCUAAAGAAAACUCAAGAGAGAAUUCUUGGAGAAAACCCCAAAGAAAAUUCUACACUCAACAAAUCUGAAAUUUGAUAGAAAAAAUAAUAAUAAGAUGUUUUUACAAAGGGUGGCUGGCCAAUGCUUAUAUAGGCCUCCAACAAAUCCUAAUCUCACAAGUAACUAAUAAAAAAUUAAACCUAAUUAAUAAAAUAACAAGGUAAAUUCGGCCAUGCACUUAUAUGGGCUGUUUUGGGCCGAAUUUUACAUGUAAUGCUCCUAAAGAUUAAAAAAUUAAAUUAAACAAGUAAGAUGUUUAUAAAUUGGGCCCUUUGACAUUUUGGCCUGAUUUUCAACUAAGUAUGAAGAAAUUUCUUGAUUGGGCUGGAUUUUGGUUAUUGGGCCUCGCCUUCAAGAAUUUGGGCUCGUGAUCCAUCUCCUACCAAAAUUGGGUCGUUGACGCUCGUAAUGGAGAUCCAAUGCGUUUUGGCUGCAAGAUUUGGUUUCUUGGACCAAGAUUUCCAAGAUUUGAAAUCUUGAUUUUCUUGAUUCUUGAAAUCUCUUCGAACAACAAAAUUGGGCCAAGAUUCGAUUUCUUGAUUUUCUUGAAAACAAGAAAGUGAAUCUUGAUUUUCUUGUUCUCUCGUGUAUGCAUCUAAGGCCUUGCUAACAAGCUCUUGAAUGGUCCCAUUUAGUUUGGACCGCAUUUGUCGGGCCUUUGAUCUCGUUAUUGGGCCUUGUGGCAAUUUGAGCCCAUCACGUUCUUGAACUUGGAUUGGGCCUUUAUGACUCGUAUCAUUAGUUCAUGCAACACAUACAUUAAAUUCGGCAGAAUAGGGAUAUAAAAAUCUGCUCAUUUAGUUCGGUCAACUAAAUAAAUAUUUGUGGUAGUUUAAGACAUAUUUAAGGCACUAGACUAAUUUGGACAUAUUAAAAAACACUCAAUAAUUAUUUUGACCAGAAAUUAAACUCAAUUAAUUAACUUAACUAAUUUAACUAACAACUUAAAUAAAUAUUCCAGCAAAAUAAAUAUAAACGCAAUUGAGCUUAAAAUGAGCUGAUUGAGCUAAGAGGGAGCUCGAUGAGCUAAAGUUGAGCUGAAUGAACUUGAAGUAGAUUGCACGGAUUGCUUAAUUUGUUGGCCCAUGAUUUUUCAAGUAGAACAGCCACGGAUUCACUCCAAGCUCAAUCCACCAAAGUUGAAAUUGCAUUCUUGAACUUAUUAGCUCUAGCUCGAGUAAUGGGUCCUUUUGGUAGCUCAAGGGAAAUAUCAUUAACACUCGAUAGCUCUUGGGUCUCGAUCGCAUCACUAUAUAAUAUAUGGUCGGCCACCCUUUGUAAACACAACUUAGAUUUUAUUAAAUUUUUAGAUUUGUUGAGAGCAGAAUUUUUUUUGGGGUUUUCUCCAAGAAUUCUAUCUUGAGUUUUCUUUAGAAGCUGUUUUAACAAUCUUUGGAUUGUGGGAGCCAUCUUCAACCUUCUUCUUGCCAUUGAUAUUCAUUGGAGGGGAGAUUAGAGCCGUUUGUAGGGAUUUGUGAAUUCUUUCCAGAAUUCAAGGAUUCUUAGGACUUUUAUUUAUUUCUUGCUGUUUCGAUUUAUUUCUUUGUUUCUCUUGGGUCAAUUCUUUAUCUCACUUGUUUGCUGUUAUUCUUGUACUUUUCCAGCCACAUUCCAACUCCAAGAAUCGACAAUUUUUUCCCUCGUUGGCAGCAAAGAGACGUUAUCAAAAUCCCCAAUUUCUAGGGCUUGGCCGAUUGGGUCAUAUUCAAUUUGGGGAACAUUCGGUUACUGGAAAUUGGGCAUUCUUGGCCGAAUCAACUCAUUGGCAGAUUCACAUCCUUUCUUUCCUUUCAAUUGCGUUUGAUUCUUCGAUUCUACUUCUUUUCUUCUUGCCGUCCAAAACCCCAAUUUUAUUCCAUUUAUUUGCUGAAAUUUUAAGUUUAAUUUGCUGCUUGUGUUUGUUUUCUCAAAUUCGGCAGAUUGGAUCUAUUCUUGAUUGCUAACUCGUGAUCUUGGUUUUAAAGAAACCUCUUCUCCUAAGUGUUUCGAUUCUUGAUUAUAUCUUGCUGGUUUUUUUGGGUUCUUAUUCCAGAUCUUGAAAUUUCCAGAUUUAAUCUCAUUAUUUGUUUUGAUUUCAGAUCUGUUCGUUAGAUCUUUUGUAGGAGUUUCCCUUGACUUGGAAACUCGAUCUUGGUCCGCGUGUGUCCUUAUAUCAUUUGGUAUCAGAUUUUGGGCAUUUUGGGUGUUCUUGGUUCAUUUCUAAACUGAUAUCAAUUUUUUAAAGCAAAAACAGCAGUUUUACCCAGAAAAAUCUUUCAAAAAAAUUUCAUUUGAGUGGGUAAAAGUUGUCAAAUUGAUCUGAAAUUUUACAUACAUAUUUUGGCACUGUGAUUGAAUAUAAAAAAAUUAUUCCUGCAAAAAAAUCAGUCAAAAAAGUCAACAAAUCGAAAAAAGACGAAAUCCAAUAAAAAUUUUAAAAAAUAUUCAGCGGGUUGAGUUUGGUGCCCAAACUUUCCAGAUCAAAAAUUCAAUAUUUAAGGACAUUCCAGAUUUAUUUUCAUGAUUUUUUGAGAUCGGGAACACCUCAAACGAAGUUGUCAAGUUACUCCGUAGUUUUUUGGGUUUUCUAUUUUCAGCAAUCUUUAUUGAUUCUUAGCUGUAGGUUUUCAUUUGUUUGCUUUUUAUUAUCCCUUUACAAUAUCUAACACCUUCUUGUUUCUUGUGAUAGUAGGAUUUAAACGUGUGCACAAUCCUUCCUCGGUGCAACAUGAAUCAAUUGGUGUCUCGUCAGUUUUGGGCAUCCUAGUGCAAAUUAGGAUUCUUUGGUAGUUUGGUUCAUACACUCUAAUUGGUUGAUAUAAACUCUGAUAAAGAACUCACAAGAUUGAAUUCUACCUCAUUGAGAGUUUGAAUUUUUCUUUUUGAGUGAUUAACGGUGAGGUUUUCUAACUUUUAUUUUUGAGUGUUGAGUGUUUAUUUUUGCAGAUUUUUGGAAAAUGUCUAAAGAUGACCAUAAUGAUACACUUAUGAAAGUCCAACAACAAUUAGACGGACACGCUGCUGCAAUCUCACAAAUAAAUGCUACACUUCAAGCAUUGAAUACUACUUUGAAUGAGGUAAGAGUGAAUCAAGAACCUCAAUAUCGAGAUCCAAUCAAGGAAGAUAGGGAUAAUCAACCCCAUAGGCACGGCCCUCGACGUGUCCCCAGAAUGGAUGAUGAUUUUCAUGAUCGUGGACAACCUUCUUUGGCAAAAUCGAAGUUCACAAUUCCCUAAUUUCGUGGUAAGAAUGAUCCAGAAGCUUAUUGUGAAUGGGAAUCUAAGAUUGAACUUAUGUUUAGGUAUUAUAAAUGUCCGGAUGAUGAAAAGGUUGCAUUAGCAACGCUGGAAUUUUCACAUUAUGCAUUAAGUUGGUGGACUCAACUUGGGGUAAAUCGUCAUCGGAAUUAUGAAGGUGAGAUUUCGACAUGGGAUGAGUUGAAACAUAUUAUGCGAAAAAGGUUUAUUCCACCUCACUACUAUAGAGAGAUUAAAACAAAGCUCCGAAGACUUAUUAAAGGUAGUAAGACGGUGGAUGAAUAUUUUAAAGAGAUGGAGAUGCUCAUUCAGAGAGCUAAUGUGGAGGAGGAUGAAGAAACAACUAUGGUUCGAUUUACUGAUGGUUUGAACAGGCCGAUAGCUAAUACAUUGAGGCUACAAACUUACAUUGAUUUGGAAGAAGUAGUUCAUAAAGCCAUUGAGAUCAAGCAACAACUAAAGGAACAAAGGUUUGGUUCCUUCUCGACUUCACAAUAUUACCGAGGUAACAAUUCUGAUACGACCCCGCCCCGGAAACAUUUUUGGUUCAGCUCAUUCGAGCUCAAUUCAGCUCAUUGAGCUCGUUAUUAGCUCACUAGCUCAUUUAAUUUAAUUUGCUGGAAUAAAUUAAUUAGUUAAGUUAGUUAUUUUAGCUUAAAUAAUUACUAAGUAUUUAAUUAAGAAAUCUGGACAUUUUAAAUAUGUUUUAUUGGUUUUAAUGCAUGCUUUAAAUUUGUCUUAAGACUAUUUAAAUGUGUUCUAUUUAGUACAGCUUUUAAUGUGUCUGGACGGAUUUAAUGCUAUUGUUUAAUGUGUCUUUAGUGCUUUAAAGUGCCGAAUUUAAAGAACAAUUUAUUAUGCAGGUUUAAUGCUAGCUGCCGAAUUUAAUGUGUCUACAAUAGACUUAAUAGCAAAGGGAAGCAUUUAAAGAGCUGUUGACUUCUCCUUUAGAAGCAUGCAUGAACGGCAUUAAAGGAAGCAUGCAUUGUGUUUCUAUACAUCCAUUUUCGUGCAUAGCAAAGGACUCAUUAAGGGCUGCUGAUUCCUAUUUCCUAUGAGCCUUUUCGUGAAGAUCAAUGGCUCUUGAAUUUUGAUGCAUGCUUGGACGACAUUAAAUUGGUUGCUGCAUUCUUCUCCCUAUGCAUGGGACGGCAUUAAAAUCCCUCUUCUCCAUGUGCUAUUUCGGUCCCUUCAAUAGAGCCAUUAAUGUGCCGUCUCAAUUAAGAGAAUGCAUGAGCAGCAAAUUAAAACCUGCAUUUAAGCUGCCGUUUGAGCUCACCUAGGAGCCUUUUUCGUGGGAAACAAAGGAGCCUUAAAAGCACCAUCCAAAUUGAAGGGAUGAAUGGGCAGAUUCUAGAAGUCAAAUUUAUUACCCAUGAUGAACAAACAUUUGCUUCAUGACUAAGGAUGCAUCUAUGGAUGGCAAGGGGGGGACGAAUGUGACUUAAAUGUCAUUCAAUGGAUGAAUAUAUAUCAUUAAAAUCGGUUCAUGGGCUGAUUCAUGUUACUUAUUAAUGGCCAGAAUUGGCUAUUCAUGUCCUAGUUUUAGUAUAAAUAGUUGGCUUGUAAACAUGUAAAAGGUUAGACAAUAUACUUUUAAACUUUAUAUGAAAUUUGUUUACUUUGUGAGUUUGUUUUCAACUCUCAUUGUUCUCCAAAGACUCGUCUGACUUAUCAAGUAACCCUUGUGGCGUCAACCCGUCUUUCUAUCCGAACUUAUCACUUUAAUCCCAAAAGUGUGGCGUUCGAUUCGUACUGAGGUCCUAUCAUUUUUGAUAGCGGGUCGAAGUUUCUAUCCACUUAACAAACCUUCCAUCAACACCCUACCAACCUAAGCAUUCUCCUAAGUUACGGGUUAACACACUCCUAUUGUGUUAGUUCGGCUUUUGAAUACUUAGCCCAAACUUCAUCCAUUGAUUUAUGUUUCAUUUCCUAAACCAACAAAACUUUAUUGAGCCUAAAUAAUUCCUUUUCUUCUAGCCUAUUUUGUAAAGCUUUCAAAUUACUCCAAUUCACGAUCGGGCACAACAAUGACUCGGAUUCAUUAACCGGGCCAGAUCGUAUCAAAUUCCAAUUCUGAUUUUAAGAGUUCAAAAUCCCCUUUUGUUACUAACAAGUCUUCUUUGAGUAAUGGAAGUAAGCAAUCAGAUUGGAAAAAAGGGGCUCCUGUUAAAACGCAAACACCUUCUAAGCAGCCCAAUUUAGGUGAUUCGAGUGUGAAGAGGACUCGUGAGAUUGAAUGCUUUAAGUGAAAAGGGCGUGGUCAUUAUAGUAGGGAAUGCCCUAACACGAGAUUACUUCUUUUAAAAGAUAAUGGUGAGUACACUUCUGACUCUGAUAAUACAGAUCCAGAUUGCCAGAACUUGUGGAUGACAGUGAUAAUGGCGAAGAGUUGGUCGAACCACCAAAGGAAGGGGACUUUACUGAUUUCCAUUGCUUUGUAGUUCGCCGAACCCUUAACAUUCAGAUGAAAGAUGAUGAUAGCCAAAGGACCAAUAUUUUCCAUACUCGGUGUUUUAUUAAAGGUAACUUAUGUUCACUCAUUAUUGAUAGUGGGAGUUGCUCGAAUAUAGUGAGUAGCUAUUUGGUGGAUUCUUUAAAGUUGCCGUGUACCAAACACCCUAAGCCAUAUCACCUUCAAUGGCUCCAUGAAUGUUCCAAAGUAAAAGUUACAAAAUAGUCCUUGGUCACUUUUAAGCUCGACAAUUACGAAGAUGAAGUUUGGUGUGAUGUGGUGGUCCCAAUGCAUACGGCACACUUGUUCCUUGGACGACCUUUGCAAUUUGAUCGUGAUGUUAUACACUAAGCUAAGCUUAAUCGAUACUCCCUUGUAUUUAAAGGUAAGAAAUUCACUUUUGCUCCUUUAAAUCCCACUGAUUGAUGUGAUCCAAUCCGGGUUAAUCGAGUCGUUUCACGUAGAUGCCCGAUCAUCGACGAGGAGUUUCGUAUCAAAAGGAUGGUUUGUUUGUAAUCGGCUAAAAAUAUGUAGUAAAGUGAUGGAUAUAGGUUCACAAAGGGGUAAGUAGGAUAUGGAUAGGUUUGACAACAAGGGAAUGGAGAAAGAUAGCUAAUUUGUUUUUCUCGGUUUAAGGAUAAAAUAAUAAAGAUAAAAUAUAAGAUAUUCAGUGGGGAUGGAUAAGUGAACUUAAACACCAGAAACGAUUCAACACUAAAGAGUGUCACCCCGGUUUCUAUUUGGUUACGGUGGAUUUGCGGAAUUGUAGAAGGGUUGAACGCCACACCAACGCAAGGUGAUAAGUUCAAAAGAGAACGAUAGACGCCACUAGCACUCUAGAUAAGUCGGAUCGAAACUCGUACGAAUUUAGAGAGGAGAAAAACUCACUCUUUGAACAAAGUUUAUUCAAAUGAUCAAAAGUCAAAAGUCCCUUUACAAUGAAAAUGAAUAACUACUUAUAGUGUUCAGCUAGGUAGCCGAAUGGCCAAAACAAGAAAAUCAAGAAACCGAAUCUUGGCCCAAUUUUGCUGUUCGAAGAGAUUUCAAGAAUCAAGAAAAUCAAAAUUUCAAAUCUUAGAAAUCUUGGUCUAAGAAACCAAAUCUUGUAGCCAAAACACAUUGGAUCUCCAUUACGAGCGUCAACGACCCAAUUUUGGUAGGAGAUGGAUCACGAGCCCAAAUUCUUGAAGGCAAGGCCCAAUAACCAAAAUCCAGCCCAACCAAGAAAUUUCUUCAUACUUAGUUGAAAAUCAAGCCAAAAUGUCAAAGGGCCCAAUUUGUAAACAUCUUACUUGUUUAAUUUAAUUUUUUUAAUCUUUAGGAGCAUUACAUGUAAAAUUCGGCCCAAAACAGCCCAUAUAAGUGCAUGGCCGAAUUUACCUUGUUAUUUUAUUAAUUAGGUUUAAUUUUUAUUAGUUACUUGUGAGAUUAGGAUUUGUUGGAGGCCUAUAUAAGCAUUGGCCAGCCACCCUUUGUAAAAACAUCUUAUUAUUAUUUUUUCUAUCAAAUUUUAGAUUUGUUGAGUGCAGAAUUUUCUUUGGGGUUUUCUCCAAGAAUUCUCUCUUGAGUUUUCUUUAGAAGUUGUUUUAACAAUCUUUUGAUUGUGGGAGCCAUCUUCAACCUUCUUCUUGCCAUCGAUAUUCUUUGGAGGGGAGAUUAGAGCCGUUUGAAGAGAUUUGUGAAAUCUUUUGGGAUUUCAAGGAUCUUUAGGACUUAUCCUUUAAUUCUUGCUGUUUUCGAUUUCUUUCUUUACUUUUCUUUGCUUAUACUUGUGCCGAUUUCUCAUCUAAUAUUUUGCUGUUCUUGUUUGUUUUCCAGCAUUGAUUAAACUCAAGAUCUCAUCGUUUAAGUUGUUCUCCUAUUGGCAGCACCCAUUCGAACCCAAAAAUCCCCAAUUCCUAGGGUUUGGCCGAUUGGAUUUCUUUCAAUUUGGGAAUCAAUUGAUUGCUGGAAAUUAGGCAUUCUUGGCCGAAUCAAUUCCUUGGCAGAUUCGCAUCCUUUCUUUCUUCUCAAUUUCGUUUGAUUCAUCGAUUCUAUUUCUUUUCUUCUUGCUGCUCUUUUAAUUGAAUUUGGGAAUUUUAAAUUCAAAUCUGAUUCGGUUUAAUCUUAAUCUUUGUUUUUGAUUUCAGAUCUGUUCGUCUAGGAUCUUUCGUAGGAGUUUCUCGUGACAUGGCAACUCGAUCUUGGUCCGCGUGCAUUCCUCUAUCAUUUUCUCCCGUUGGGUUCUUACUCGAUGACUCCGCUCUUCGACACGAUCUAAUCGUUUCUUGAUGGGUUUGAGUUUUCGAUCAAAUAGAUGCUCCAUUUCAUGCGUAAAGGCUUGGAGUGUAAAAUCUGGCACACUUCCUCCAACAAUUCUUAUAGGACGGAAUCCAACUCCCUUGUCUAAAUUUUUUUCUAGACUUCGUGACAUUUUUUUAAGAACUCACAACAAAGAAAAUCUCACUAUCCACUCACAAAGAAAUCUCACUUCCUUGGCUUUUUUCUUCUCUCGAAUAAACUCACUACUCUCUUGCCUCUUUCCACUCACUCCUCCUCUCUAAGUUCUUAGGAAUUAUUUAAACUUAAUAGGCAGUUGUUGUGGAUCGGCUUACAAACUUGAUGCUUGGGCUUGGAAAGAAUAUUGUAGGACAAAGGAAAGUAGGCUUGAAAUAAAGAAAUGUAAAUGUUUGGGUGUGGCAAAAUAGUAGAAGGUAAUAAUGACUAAAAUUUGGGCAGCAAACAAAAACUAAAUUUCAAAACUAGCUCUCUCUUUUUUUCACAAUUUUUUUUCACAAUUUUUUUUUCACAACUUGAUAUCCAAUCUUUUAAGUUUGAAUGGAAACUAGUUUUUUUUCGAUUUUUUUUUGAAUUUUUUUCGAGUUUUUUUCGAGAAACUACUAUACCGUAAUGCCGUCAACGUCGAUUCUUACUCCAAAUUCACUAGCUCUGAUACCAAUUUGAUACGAACUAGUUUUGUGAUUGAUUCGAGUCGUUAGUGUUUGCUCGAUCGUGAAUUUGAGUAAGGCUAAGUUUGUUUCAAAAUAGAAGAAAGGCUACAAACAAACGUUUAAAAGGGAAAUGGGUUUAACAACGAAUGGAAAAAUUUGGCUAAGGGCAGAGAAUGAACCAACAAUAGAGGUUGUUGACCUGAGACUUAAAGUAGCUCUUAGGUGAAUGACAGUAUAGGAAAACAACAAAGAAAAGACCUCGACCCACUAUCAAGAAUGAUAGGAACCUUGGUAUAUGAUGAACGCCACACUAUGAAAGUGAUAAGUUCGAAAACAAGAAAUGGAUAGACGCCACAAGCUAAGCUUGAUAAGUCAAAUCAAUUCCGUAAGAACAAAGAGAAUUGGAUAGCUCACAAUUCAAAUAUUUCAUCUAUAUUCAUCCAAAAGUUCUCCUCUCUAUGGCUGAUUACAUCUAGUUAUAAUGCUAAAACAAGGUAACCGAAUGGUCAAAAACAUCCACUUAAUGUGCCAUAAAAACUGAUGUCUUUUCUUAUUCUUUGAACCAAAUAACUCCUUCCAUAAAAUCAGUUUAAUUCAGCUGAUUUGAAUGUCUUUAAUGGCUUAGAAAAUGACUCUUGAGUUGUCCUUGGCUAGUUGAAUAGACACCAUCUCUUAACCAGCUCCUUAAUGACAUUCAAAGGCUUGAAUAAUUUCUCUUGAAAGCUCCAAAAACGGCUGGAAGUGGAAGAGUUGCUGCUGAAUUUUAAAGGGCAUAAAAUGCUCUUUAAAAACUCCUUUUAAUGAUCUUUAAGCUCCUUUUUUAACAGCCCCUUUAAUUGUAACUCAAAAAAACUUGAACAGCCACUUAAUUAAAUGUGUAACAGCCUUGAAUUGUAACCACUAUAAGCUAAAAAGUCACCUGCAAUAAACACAUUAAAAUAAGUUUAUUAAACAAAUGAAAACACUUAUUAAUCAUAACAAACAUAUUAAACUUACUUAAAUAAAUGAACUAAAACAUAUAUACAAUAAUUAUUCCAGCAACUAGUUUAAUUAAAGAAGCAUAAUUUAAAAAAACUUAAUUUAUGCAUCAAUAAAUAAUCCUAGGAACUAGAUCAAUUAAGAACAACACUUAUUAAAUAAAGUUCAGCAAAAAACACUUAUUAAUUAAAACUAAGAUGAGUUGAAUAAAUGUCCAGCAACUCAUUUAUUAAACUAAGAUGCUUAAAUGCAUGGUUUUGAAAUGCAAAUUUAACUAACAUGAAAGUUACAUAAUUAAACUAACUUGACUUAAUUUAAUGAUGCAAACUUAACUAACAUGAAAGUUACAUAAUGCAUGACUUUAUUAAAUGCAGAACACAUAUUAAUGAUGUGCAAACUAUGACAUAAUUAAAAACACAAACUAAAAUAACUAAAAAUUAAUGAAUCAUAGUCCUUAUUUUCCAGCAGCCAAAUUGACGAACUAAAAUUAAAAACUUCAUUUUGCACUUGGGCCCCUCGAGUUUGGACCAAUCUCGGUAGCGUCGAGUUGUGUCGUAACAUGAUGCGACCGAGAUCGCAUCAUACCCUCCCUCUUGAAAAUGAUUUGUCCUCAAAUCGGGCCACUUACUCGAGAAAAAGUUUUCAAGAUCAUGACCCCCUUUGUUCAUGAUCCGGAAAGAAUUAUUUUCAAAAUUCUGAGAACCACAAAUGGCUCGACAAGAAAGAAGGUCAUUUGCAUGCCAUCCCUCUUUAGAAGGGUACCACCUAACAUCGUCACCUACAAAACAAUAAAACAAAUUAGUGACACAAUGAAAGUUAAACACAAAAGAACUUUCCAGGAUUUUAGUCACAACUUGAACAAAUAAACUCAAAAGAACAACACAUGAAUCAAUACCGGGAUCAAAAAUAAAAAUUGGUUUUACCUUUUUCUUCGAUGGAAACAAACCUGAUUCACAAGGUAUUUGAAGAUUAUAGUUUUGAAAAUUAGAAUUCCAUGGUCCAAAUCCCUUGAACAAUGAUAUGGAACAGCAUUCACCGGGAUCAAAGACAAAGUUUUUGUUCACCAUUUCAAUUUGACCAGAAAAAUUUGUGGCUAGUAACUUAUGAAGAACUUGAAGCACAUUAAAGUUAAAAUCAUGCAACACAUGUUUGAAUCCAUUAAGAAACAAUAUACAACAACCUCCAGAAUCAAAAAUUUGAUUUUGACUUGGCAAGCCAACGAAAUUAACAUGUUUGGUUUUCGAACUAAAUAAAGAUAAAAGUUGAAGCAAAUAGAAGGGGUCAACACAUUGAUUCAAAAUACAAUUUUGAUACUCACCUUCGCUUGAGGUUAACUUAGGAAUACAGGCUCCGGGUUUAAAAACAUGGUUUUGAUCGGUCGUUCUGUAACGUAACAAAAACUUCACUUUCACCAAGACAUCACACAUGCCAAAUAAAGAAGAUGUAGGCAAAAAUAAAUUCAAACAAUCAAAUCUCUCAAAUCUCAUGCAAAUAUACGAAGAUCUCACACUAAGAGUUAAAAAAUUUUCAUUACCAUCACGAUCAAACAGAUUGAGCGUUUCACAUGAAAGCUCUUUAUCAAACAUGAUCAGAUUUUGUAUUUGUGGAUUUAAUCGAACAACAUCAAAAGAUUUUUCAACACAAAACUUAUUGAGUGAACAACUCUUCAUGCCUCCACUUAAAACGAAUUUAUCAACCACAAAUAGCGAGUAACAAUUAACCAAAUCAAAAUAAGGAGAUGUUUUUAAAACUAAGUUAUCGGAGAUUUUAUCAAAAACUUUCAAACCUGAUUGCCAUGAUUCAUUGACUAAAAACUCCUUACCUUGCUUACCUUUAAGCGCUUGAACCUUACCUUUUUCGAUCAAAUGGAAUCAUCUCUCAUCAAGAAGGUAAUGAAGUUGAAACUUGUCAUUUGAAUCUCUAGAAACCUGGAAAGAAGAAACAAUAUGAGGACAACUUGCAGAUUGGUUAGUAAAAACAUUCCUCGCUUUUUCUUGUUGACUUUCAUCUUUUUCACUCGUUUCUUUUUCAACUUCUCUUUCUUUUUCCACAAUCUCUUUGUUUGUUGAAAACUCACUUUCACUCAUCAAUUUUCUUUCAUUUUCAACAACACUUGUUUCUCGCACUCUUUCUUUUCUUUCUCCAAUCUUUUUCUCUUUUUCAAUUUUUGUUUCUUUUUCAGUUUCUUUUUCUCUCGUCACUCUUUUUCUUCUCUCAACUUUAUUACAAAAUGGCGAUAAUACAAAAGAAUCAGAACAAUAGACUUUUCGUUGGGAAGAAGUGGAAGAAUCUUCAUAAGAGUCACGAUCAACUCUUCGUGAAUAAACCUCCAUGGAUGAGUUCUUAUAUGAAACAAAUAAAAUUAAAAACUAAAAAUUAAUGAAUCAUAGUCCUUAUUUUCCAGCAGCCAAAUUGACAAACUAAAAUUAAAAACUUCAUUUUGCACUUGGGCCCCUUGAGUUUGGACCAAUCUCGGUAGCGUCGAGUUGUGUCGUAACAUGAUGCGACCGGGAUCGCAUCAUAAAAUGAGUCAUAUCCAUGAAUCCAACCAUUCAUGUAUUAAGCCAUUCAUGUAUAGUCCCAUUCAUUGUAUUUGAACCAUUCAUGCACUUGGACUUUAAUGCUCCUUCAUGCAUUCAGCCAUCCUACAAGAAAAACAUGAACUAAAUUAAGUGCAAAUGUAUAUUUGGCUGAACUAAAUGGUAUUAAGACAAAUUAAAUACAAUCCAGCCACCUAAUUAAAUUCGGCUAACACAACAUAAUUAUAACAUGUAAUAAGCUGACAAGUAAUUAAGAGCUGUAACUAAAUUAACUAAUUAACUUAAAUAAUUAAUUUAUUCCAGCAAAUAAAAUUAAUUUAGCUAAAGAGCUAAUAAUGAGCUGAAUUGAAUUUAAACCAAGCUCAAACGAGCUGAAUUAAUCUCAUGUGAGCUAAAAUAAAAUUCGGUGAGCUGAACCAAGCUAAAUGAAGCUUGAGGAGCUGAAUUCAAGCUGAAAUCAAUGGCGUCCUUGGCCAGGGUCGUAUCAUUCCCCCUUCUUUUGAACGACUUGUCCUCAAGUCGAGCCGUUGGUUCACUCGAUCAUAGCUCCGCUUACUCAUCUUUCCUCGAUCAAACGGAAUCGAACACAAAUAAAACAAACCACCAAACUGUUUUGUUACAUCUUCACCAUACAAAGUCUCAUCAAACGAAGGAAUUAUUUUAAAUGAGUAAUCACAAAUCAUCAAGAAUUUAUUUGAGCAAAUAUGUGGCCCAAGUACCAUUUGGGUAGAACAUUCAUAAUCCUUGCAAGAAGGUAUUUUCCAAAUUUCAUACCCACAAUCUAUUGAACAAAGCUUUUUGCAAGUUAUGAUUUUACCACUUAAUCGGCUUAAAUCUUGCAUAGUUAAGCUUAACAGUGGCCAUUGAUCUUUCAUCUUUUCAACAAACUUGUCAUUAAGGAGAAUCUUACCAAAAAUUUUCAAGAGACAUGUGGACAUAAUCAACUUAAUCCGUUCAUCGAUCAAGCAAAUAAACUCCUCACCACAACUUAUUGAACACCAAUUUUUAUCACAAACAAAUGAAUGCACAGUAAAACCUUGCAAUGGAAAUUGAACGAUUGGUUCUUCCAAAAUCGCAUCAUCAGCAUCAAGCAAAACAGAUGAUUCAUUUUUAAAUAAAACUGAACAGUUAAACACAUCACAAUUUAAAUACCUUGCAGCAACCAAUUCUUCAACAAAAAGUUUAUUACCAACCGAAUAGGGCAUAGAAAUUUUAAAGUUCUCAUAAGUCAUACCUUGUUUACCUCGAGGGAUGGAAAAGCAAGGAUCAUUUUUACCUUUGUCGAUCAUCAUAAAUCUUCUCUCCUCGAAAAUAUAGUCUAGUCGAAUCUCUGUGGCUAAAUUAACCUUAACGAAAUGAAAUACGAACUUCAAAUACAACCACAAAAAUGGAUUAAGGAAUGACUUUAAAUUGAAAUCAAAUUUUUCAUACCUCAGUUCCUUAUUCAACACCCAAUUAUCAAAACAAUAGAAAUUGUUCACACAAAAUUGAUGAAACUUGACUUUCCCAUAAAACGAACCAAAAUAGAUUCCGGGUUUAAAACCUGAUUUUGAGUAUUCAUGCCAAAAUGUAGCAAAAAUUUCAUUAAACCAAACACGUUAAACCAAUGGGAUGUUUGCAUACACAGGGACAAACAGAUAAAAAAUUUUACAUUCAUCAAUUCAUACUUGCACAAAUUCAUAGAUUUUCCACAAAGCGUUAAUUGGUGCACAAAAUUGUCACAAAUGAAAAAUUUAAUCGCCUUUCGUGAAAAACCGUCAUCAUGCAAAAUUAAAUCUUUGGUUUGUUGAUUGGAACAAAAAUCAACCACAUUCAGGGAGUAACAAUUAAUCAGACCAAAAUAAGGAGAGCGUUUAGAAAUUAAGUCACUAAAAAGUAUUUCAACAAUUUUCAAACCUGGUGGUCGUGACUCGAUCAUUAACAUUUCCUCACCUUGCUUACCUUUGAACUCUUGGGGCAUGUUUUCAUCUUCAACCUUACCUAUACUGACCAUAUGAAAAUGUCUUUCAUCGGAAAGGUAGUGAAGUUGAAAAUUAUCGUUUGAUAUCUCGGGCACCUAGAAAGAAGAAACAGAACAAGAACAAGUUUCGUAUGGAUUAGUUGAAAUGCUCCUCACUUUUUCUGGUUCGUUUAUCUCUUUUUCUCUCGUUUCUUUUCUAAUCUCAACUUCUUUUUUUCUCUUUUCAUUUCCUCUCUCAUUUUCAAUUUUAUUUUCGACCUCACUCUCUUUUUGGAUUUCUUUUUCUUUUUCAAUCUUUUCUUCUUUUCUUUCGAUUUCUCUUUCUCGCUUGCACUCUUGUUCAAUCUCAAUUUCUUUUUCGAAUUCUUUCUCUUCAUUUUCUUUUUCUCUCACUUUUUUGAUUUCUUGUUCCUUUUCUUUCAUUUCUUUUUUUGUCUCUCGAUUUCAUUCCAUAUAUGCUCAUUUUCUCUCAUCAACAUUUCUUGUCUUUAUUUUCUUCUUAUUUCUUUUUCUUUUUGCCUCGCUCUUUCAUUAUAGGAUGGAGAUGUUGCAAAUGAAUCAGCACAAAAUGACUCUCGUUGGGUAUAAUUAGAAUGAGUUUCAUACAAAAAAUGAUCACCUCUUCGAGAUUGAUUCUUGGCGGAUGAAUACCUUGGUGCAUAUGAAGGACUACUUGUGAUUCCUCGUUCGUCACCUUGAAAAGCUUCAAACUCAAAACUUGCUUUGCUUCGUCUUGAGUUCCUCGUUGAAUAGAAAUCCCGAUAAGAAUCUCUUAGUGAGUAGUCUUUGGACGCAUAUUGUUGUGAUGAUCUCGACUCCGUUUCUCGACUUGGUGGAUUUUGUUUCUGUUGGGACUUUUCAUCCACUCGGUUCAAACGUCUUUUUAAUGGGCUUAGUUCUUCCUCCAAAAUUCGGCCCAUCUCAUUCACCAAGUAUUGAAAUUCAUCGGUAGAGAAUUCUUCUUGAGACAUGAUUUAAUUACUAAAAAAUGAUUAAAACAAAACAAAAAUUAAAUACCUCACCACAAAAAUCUCACGUUUCACUCGCAAAGAAAAUUGGAUAGCACACCACUCGUGUUUACGCUCGUUUAAUGGCUUUUGCUUGCUCUAAUGUACUCACCACUCGUGCCUUUUUCCACUCGUCUCACUCUCGUGAAUCCGUAUUUUGUUUCAAGAAGACUUAUUGCGGCUUAGAGGGUCGGCUUCAAAUGGGUGCAAAGGAUAACGUUAGGGUGUAUAGGGUAGGCUGAAACAAGGAAAAAUAAAAAAUCAAAGUAUGUGUGGCGUUUGUUUUUGGGUAGAAGGAAUGGAUGCUCGGAAGUAAUAAGAAAUAAUAACAAAAUAAAACUCAUAAGACUUUUCACUUCUUUUUUUUUAUACUUUGAUUUUUUUUCACUUCAAAUACAAUUGAAUAAUACCAAAAUAUCUUCAAAAUUCACGAAAUCCUCUUCUCUAUUUUUUUUAAUUUUUUUUCUUUCUCUCUCUUUUUUUUUGCUCGAUUUUUUUUUUCACUUUUUUUGAAUUUUUUUCGAUUUUAUUUUUUUAAUCCAAUACAAUAGUAAGCAAAAUACAAUAAAGAAAAGAGAAAAUAAAAUAAAAUUACAACUCGAGAUUUUUUUGAUUUUUUUUGAAACUUUUUUUUACAAACCUAUCUUUCGAGAUAGCUACGAACAUCGGUGCACCUCGUUUUGAAAGCUCUGAUACCAAAUGAUGCGAUUCGGCCCAGGUUAAUCGAGUCAUUUCACGUAGAUACCCGAUCGUCGACGAGGAGUUUUGUAUCAAAAGGAUGGUUUGUUUGUAAUCGACUAAAAAUAUGUAGUAAAGUGAUGGAUAUAGGUUCACAAAGGGGUAAGUAGGAUAUGGAUAGGUUUGACAACAAGGGAAUGGAGAAAGAUAGCUAAUUUGUUUUUCUCGGUUUAAGGAUAAAAUAAUAAAGAUAAAAUAUAAGAUAUUCGGUGGGGAUGGAUAAGUGAACUUAAACACCAGAAACGAUUCAACACUAAAGAGUGUCACCCCUGUUUCUAUUUGGUUAAGGUGGAUUUGCGGAAUUGUAGAAGGGUUGAACGCCACACCAACGCAAGGUGAUAAGUUCAAAAGAGAACGAUAGACGCCACUAGCACGCUAGAUAAGUCGGAUCGAAACUCGUACGAAUUUAGAGAGGAGAAAAACUCACUCUUUGAACAAAGUUUAUUCAAAUGGUCAAAAGUCAAAAGUCCCUUUACAAUGAAAAUGAACAACUACUUAUAGUGUUCAGCUAGGUAGCCGAAUGGCCAAAACAAAGAAUUAAUGUCUAAGUAAUUAAAUAGGCUAGAAAAUGCUAGAAAAUUUUGGAAAUAAAAACUAAAUUGCUGGAGCUAAAUUCAGCUGAAUUUGAAGCUCAAGGGACGAUUUCUAGAAGAGCAAAUGCACUUGGAGAAAUGGCAGCAGCUAGGUUCAGUCAAUUGAGCUUAAAUGAGCUCAUUAAAAUGUAAUUCUUGGCUGAAAAGAUACCAGCAUUAAAGGUGAACGUGAACAGCCUUGAAGGUGUGAAAAAGGAGUUGGAAAAGUCUUUGGAAGUGUGAACAAUGAUCAGCCAAAUGGUCCUUGGUGUGAACUCCAAAUGUGAACGCAUAGGUGCUAUUUUGGGAAGUGCAUCGGCCAGCUUUUGGAGAAUGAAUUUAGUUGCUCUUCUUGGCUGAAUAAACACCUUGAAUUAUCAUAAAAUGAGUCAUAUCCAUGAAUCCAACCAUUCAUGUAUUAAGCCAUUCAUGCAUACUCCCAUACGUUGUAUUUGAACCAUUCAUGCACUUGGACUUUAAUGCUCCUUCAUGCAUUCAGCCAUCAUACAAGAAAAACAUGAACUAAAUUAAGCGCAAAUGUAUAUUUGGCUGAACUAAAUGGUAUUAAGACAAAUUAAAUACAAUCCAGCCACCUAAUUAAAUUCGGCUAACACAACAUAAUUAUAACAUGUAAUAAGCUGACAAGUAAUUAAGAGUUGUAACUAAAUUAACUAAUUAACUUAAAUAAUUAAUUUAUUCCAGCAAAUAAAAUUAAUUUAGCUAAAGAGCUAAUAAUGAGCUGAAUUGAAUUUAAACCAAGCUCAAACGAGCUGAAUUAAUCUCAUGUGAGCUAAAAUAAAAUUCGGUGAGCUGAACCAAGCUAAAUGGAGCUUGAGGAGCUGAAUUCAAGCUGAAAUCAAUGGCAUCCUUGGCCAGGGUCGUAUCACUGAUGUAUACAAAGAUCAACUGAAGAUGAUGAAAUUUUGUGAGGGGGUAAGGGAGAAAGGGCAAGUACAAAAGACAGAGAGAAAAGAGGCUAAUAGUGAAAAAAGUCACAAUUUAAAAAGCCCAAAGGUGAGUGAAUCCUCAAGAGGUAUAAUGAGCGAAAAAUAUCUUUUGGCAACAAAAAAAGAUGUGCGGAGAGCCCUACUCAAUAAACAGUCUUGUAUCCUUGUGAGGUUUAGGCAAAAUUAUUUAUCUUUAUCUAACGUUAACGAAAAUUUGCCUAGUGUGUUUCAGUUUCUUUUACAAGAUUAUGAGGAUGUUUUUAGUGAGGCCCCUAAAGGUUUACCACCUUUACGAGGGAUUGAACAUCAAAUUGACUUAGUACCCGAAACUUUGAUCCCGAAUCGACUAGCCUAUAGAUGCAAUCCUGAGGAGACAAAGGAAUUGCAAAGGCAAGUUGAGGAGUUACUAGACAAAGGGUACAUUCGUGAAAGCCUAAGCCCUUGUGUUGUUCCUGUCUUAUCGGUGCCAAAGAAAGAUGGUACGUUUCGUAUGUGUGUUGAUUGUCGCCCAAUCAACAAGAUAACGGUAAAGUAUCAACACCCAAUUCCUAGACUUGAUGAUAUGCUUGAUGAAUUACAUGGUUCAAUAAUAUUUACAAAAAUUGAUUUAAAAAGCGGUUAUCAUCAAAUUCAAAUGAGGUAAGGGGAUGAAUGGAAAACAGCCUUUAAAACAAAAUUUGAAUUGUAUGAAUGGUUAGUUAUGCCUUUCGGCCUUACUAAUGCACCUAGUACAUUUAUGAGAUUAAUAAAUCAUGUUUUAAGGCUAUACUUGGGUAAAUUUGUAGUAGUUUACUUUGAUGAUAUCUUAAUUUACUCCAAGACUUUAGAUGAUCAUGUUUUCCAUGUUCGAACUGUUUUGGAUAUUCUGUGAGCUGAAAAAUUAUUUGCCAACCUUGAUAAAUGCACAUUCUGUUGUGAUAAACUAAUAUUCUUAGGUUUCAUAGUUAGUGCUCAAGGUAUUCAUGUCGACGAGGACAAAGUCAAGGCAAUUAAGGAGUGGCUGACUCCUAAAUCGGUAACUGAGGUGAGAUCUUUCCAUGGUUUAGCUAGUUUUUAUAGACGAUUUGUGAAAGAUUUCUCUACUAUUACUGCCCCAUUGAUAGAAGUUAUAAAGAAAUCAGUGGGUUUCAAAUGGGGUGAAACCCAAGCAAAAGCUUUUCAAACCCUAAAAGAUAAGUUAUGUUCUGCUCCUCUUCUCAAAUUACCUAAUUUUUCUAAUACUUUUGAACUUGAGUGUGAUGCUUCAGGAAUUGGAAUUGGUGCCGUUUUAAUGCAAGAUAAGCAACCUAUUGCUUAUUUUAGUGAGAAAUUGAAUGGUGCACAGUUAAAUUACUCGACUUAUGACAAAGAACUAUUGGUGUUAGUUCGUGCACUUCAAGUAUGGCAACACUAUUUGCUGCCUAAUGAGUUUGUCAUACAUACGGAUCAUGAGUCUCUUAAAUGGUUAAAGGGACAAGGUAAGUUGAGUAAGCGACAUGCCCGAUGGGUAGAAUUCAUUGAAACAUUCCCUUAUGUGAUAAAAUAUAAAACAGGUAAAGAUAAUGUAGUUGUCGAUGCUUUUUCUAGACGAUAUACUUUAAUAACUACAUUGAAUGCUAAAGUCUUAGGGUUUAAACAUAUUAAAGAGCUAUAUGAUGAUGAUAUUGAUUUCAACCAUAUCUAUAAGAAUUGUGGACAUACUGCUUUUGAAAAGUUUUAUCUUGUAGAUGGCUUUCUUUUUCGUUUAAACAGGUUAUGCAUACCAAAGUGUUCCAUGAGAGAAUUGUUGAUUCAUGAAGCCCAUAGUGGGGGAUUAAUGGGACAUUUUGGAGUGGUCAAAACACUAGACAUCUUGCAAGAACACUUCCAUUGGCCACAUAUGAAGAAGGAUGUGGAAAAGGUAUGUUCCAAGUGCAUUACAUGCAAACAAACAAAAUCUAAGGUAAUGCCUCAUGGCCUUUACACUCCUCUACCGAUUCCUACUUCACCUUGGGUAGAUUUAUCCAUGGAUUUUAUUUUAGGUUUGCCUCGAACUAAGAAAGGAAGAGAUAGUAUAUUUUUUGUUGUUGACAGGUUUUCAAAGAUGUCACAUUUUAUUCCUUGUCACAAAACAGAUGAUGCUACACACGUGGCAGACUUAUUCUUUAAAGAAGUGGUAAGACUUCAUGGCAUCCCUAAAACAAUUUUUUCUGAGAGAGAUGUCAAAUUCCUUAGCCACUUUUGGAAGGUAUUGUGGGGUAAGCUUGGUACUAAAUUACUUUAUUCUACUACAUGUCACCCCCAAACUGAUGGUCAAACUGAAGUAGUUAAUUGAAUCUUAGGGACUUUAUUACGAGCUGUUGUGGGAAAGAACAUUAGAAAUUGGGAAGAAUGCCUACCAUUUAUUGAAUUUGCAUAUAAUAGAUCUAUUCAUUCUACAACUGGUUAUUCUCCAUUUGAACUUGUUUAUGGCUUUAACCCACUAACAAUACUUGAUCUUGCACCACUACCUCUUGAACACAUUAUAAAUUUAGAUGGUGAACAGAAAGCUGAGUUGGUGAAAUCCCUACAUGAGAAGGCUAGGCAACGAAUAGCCAAAACAAAUGAUGCGAACACCAACAAAGCAAACAAGGGGUGCAAACGGGUUGUCCUAGAACCCGGAGAUUGGGUUUGGGUUCAUUUGAGGAAAGAACGAUUUCCUACAAAAAGGAAGACUAAAUUGGACCCAAGGGGUGAUGGGCCUUUCCAAGUACUCGAGUGGAUCAAUGAUAAUGCCUAUAAAAUUGAUCUACUUGGUGAGUACAAUGUGAGUUCUACUUUUAAUGUGGCUGACUUGUCCCCAUUUGAUUUUUUAGAUUCGAGGUCGAAUCUUUUUGAGGAAGGGGGAAUGAUACGAGUCUCAAAGGCCCAACCCAAGAACGUGAUGGGCUCAAACUACCACAAGGCCCAAUAACAAGAUCAAAGGCCCGACAAAUGCGUUCCAAACUAAAUGGGACCAUUUAAGAAUUUGAUAGCAAGGCCUUAGAUGCGUACACAAAAGAACAAGAAAAUUAGGAUUCACUUUCUUGUUUUCAAGAAAAUCAAGAAACCGAAUCUUGGCCUAAUUUUGCUGUUUGGAGCGAUUUCAAGAAUCGAGAAAUUCAAGAUUUCAAAUCUUGGAAAUCUUUGUCCAAGAAACCGAAUCUUGCAGCCAAGGUGCAUUGGAUCUCUGUUACGAGCAUCAACGACCCAAAUUUGGUAGGAGAUGGAUCACAAGCCCAAAUUCUUGAAGGCAAGGCCCAAUAAGCAAAUUCUAGCCCAGUCAAGACUUUCAUAUAUACUUAGUUGAAAAUCAGGCCAAAUUGUCAAAGGGCCCAAUUUAUAAACAUUUUAAUUGUUAAUUUAAAUUUUUAGGCUCUAGGAAUAUGAAGUGUUAAAUUCGGCCCAAACAGCCCAUGUGUUUGGCCGAAAUUCUCUUAUUGUUUUUAUUAAUUAGGUUUAAAUUUUAAGUUUCCUAAUGAGAUUAGGAUUAGUUGGAGGCCUAUAUAAUAGAUGGGCGGCCACCCUUUGUAAACACAACUUAGAUUUUAUUAAAUUUUCAGAUUUGUUGAGAGCAGAAUUUUCUUUGGGGUUUUCUCUAAGAAUUCUAUCUUGAGUUUUCUUUAGAAGCUAUUUUAACAAUCUUUGGAUUGUGGGAGCCAUCUUCAACCUUCUUCUUGCCAUUGAUAUUCAUUGGAGGGGAGAUUAGAGCCGUUUGAAGGGAUUUGUGAAUUCUUUCCGGAAUUCAAGGAUUCUUAGGAGUUUUCUUUAUUUCUUGCUGUUUUGAUUUAUUUCUUUGUUUCUCUUGGGUCAAUUCUUUAUCUCACUUGUUUGCUGUUAUUCUUGUGUUUUUCCAGCCACAUUCCAACUCCAAGAAUCGACAAUUUUUUCCCUCGUUGGCAGCAAAGAGUCGUUAUCAAAAUCCCCAAUUUCUAGGGCUUGGUCGAUUGGGUCAUAUUCAAUUUGGGGAACAUUCGGUUACUGGAAAUUGGGCAUUCUUGGCCGAAUCAACUCAUUGGUAGAUUCACAUCCUUUCUUUCCUUUCAAUUGCGUUUGAUUCUUCGAUUCUACUUCUUUUCUUCUUGCCAUCCAAAACCCCAAUUUUAUUCCAUUUAUUUGCUAAAAUUUUAAGUUUAAUUUGCUGCUUGUGUUUGUUUUCUCAGAUUCGGCAGAUUGGAUCUGUUCUUGAUUGCUAACUCGUGAUCUUGGUCUUAAAGAUACCUCUUCUCCUAAGUGUUUCGAUUCUUGAUUAUAUCUUGCUGAUUUUUUUGGGUUCUUAUUCCAGAUCUUGAAAUUUCCAGAUUUAAUCUCAUUAUUUGUUUUGAUUUCAGAUCUGUUCGUUAGAGCUUUCGUAGGAGUUUCCCUUGACUUGGCAACUCGAUCUUGGUCCAUGCGCGCCCCUAUAUCAGAUUUCCAAGAUUUGAAAUCUUGAUUUUCUUGAUUCUUGAAGUCGCUCCAAACAGCAAAAUUGGGCCAAGAUUCGGUUUCUUGAUUUUCUUGAAAACAAGAAAGUGAAUCUUGAUUUUCUCUUUCUUUCGUGUACGCAUCUAAGGCCUUACUAACAAAUUCAUGAAUGGUGCCAUUUAGUUUGGAACGCAUUUGUUUGGCAUUUGACCUCAUUAUUGGGCCUUGUGGUAAUUUGAGCCCAUCACAUUCUUGAGUUUGGGUUGGGCCUUUGUGACUCGUAUCAACAUGUCUUUAAUAUGUCUUUGUUAAGUCAUAAAUUAAAUAUUUGUAAUUUAAUUACAAAGUUUUAAUGUGUCUAGAUUAAGACAAAUUUAUUAGUUGCUGCUAAUUAAUUUGUCUUAGCCGAAUUAAUGUGCAGAAUUUUUAAUAUGUCCAGCUGCUGAUUUCAUGAGUAUUAAACAUGUCUUAACCGUAUUUAUUUGGUAUUUUUCAGAUGAAUCAGCUAGCUUAAUGUCAAAGGAAGCUAAUAAAGAAGGAGCAUGUAUUUGGGCACAUGUAUGGACGACAUUUAAAGUGCAGCUGCCUUGUGCUUUCAGUUAACUUUUCGUGCAGCUCAAUGGACUUCCAGCUGCUGUUUUGAGCUUCUCAAAGGGUCAAUUUCGUGGAGAGCAAUGGCCAAAGAUUGCCUCAUAAAUUCCAACAGCUAAUUCAAUUGGAGGCUGCUCAUAUUCGGCCAAAUGAGCAUGUUUUUUCAAGCUGUCCAUUUCUCUUCUCCAAAGCAGCAAUUAUGCACCUUAAAAAGCAUUAGUUGAAUGUGAAUUUUCACCAUUAAGGGGCUAACUGAACCAUCUCUUCUAGAAUGCUAAUAUUUAGAUUUUUAUUUCAUGAAUGUAUCUAGGAAAUUUCUAGGAAGUUUCCUAAAGAAACUUAAGGCAUAAGAAUCUGAUUAAAUAGGCUAUUCGGCUACCUUAGUUCAACUAUAAAUAUACCAUGUAAUUCACAUUUGAAGGGUAAUGAACAAUUUUAGAACUUUGUUAAUUUGUGAGGUUGUUUUCAACUCUCGUUAUUCUCCAAAGACUUGUGAGACUUAUCAAACAUCUUUGUGGCAUCAAACCUGUCUUUGUUUCUAUUCGAACUUAUCACUUUAAACCCAAAAGUGUGGCGUUCGAUUCGUACUGAGGUUCCUAUCAUCUUUGAUAACGGGUCAAAGUUUCUAUUCACUUAACAUACCCUUCCAUCAACACUUUACCGACCUAAGCAUUCUCAUAAGUUACGUGUUAACACGCUACUAUUGUGUUAGUUCGGCUUUUGAAUACUUAGCCCAAAUUGCAUCCAUUGUUUCCUGAUUCAUUUCUUAAACCAACAAAACCCUUUUGAGCCUAAAUAACACUUUUCUUCUAACCUAUUUUGAAAAGCUUUCAAUUUACUUGUAAUUCACGAUCGGGCAAUUUCUACGACUCAAUUCAUUCACGAGGCGAGUGCGUAUCAUGCUUUAAGGAUGGUACAUGAAUUAUUCAUUACAAUGAAUGGGAGUGUGCAUGAAUGCUCACCUACAUGCAUCGGUUGCUGACCAUUAAACUCCUAUGCACCUAUUCGGCCAAAAGGCAUCUUUUGGAGUGUCCAUCCACACCUUGGCCGAACCUAGACCAAGCUAUUGGUGAUACGAGUCACAAAGGCCUUAGAUGCGUAUACGAAGGAAAAAAAAUCAAGAUUCACUUUCUUGUUUUUAAGAAAAUCAAUAAACCGAAUCUUGGUCCAAUUUUGCUGUUUUGAGCGAUUUCAAGAAUCAAGAAAAUCAAGAUUUCGAAUCUUAGAAAUCUUGGUCCAAGAAACUGAAUCUCGCAACUAAGGCGUAUUGGAUCUUAGUUACGAGCAUUAACAAGCCAAUAUCGGGAGAGAACGGAUUACAAGCCCAAGUUCUUGAUGACAAGGCCCAAUAAGAUGUUCCAAGCCCAAUCAAGAAAUUUAAAUUAAACUUAGUUGAAAAUCAGACCAAAUUGUCAAAGUCGCCCAAUUUGUUAAGUUUUAAUUCUUUAAAUACUUAGUUUUCAUUUUUAGACUUUAUGAAUUAGUUUUCAUUUUUAGACUUUAUGAAUAAAUUUCUAUGUAAAAAUUCAGUCCAAGAUGCCCAUUUAAAGUCCUUGGCCGAAUUUCCCCUUUAAAGUAAAAAAAUAUUAGGUUUUUUUUAGUUUUCCUAUUAGGACUAGGAAAAUAGUUAGAAGGCCUAUAUGUAUGGCUUGGCUAGCCACCCUUAUACACAUUACAUUGAAUAAUAUAUUGAAAUCAGAUUUGUUUUGUUGAGUGAAAGUUCUCUUUGAGUUCUCUAAGAAUUUUCUCUUAAGUUUUCUUUAGAAGGAGUUUUAACAAUCUUUUUUAUUAUGGGAGCCAUCUUCAGCCUUCUUCUUGCCAUUGUUCUUCAUUGGAGAGAAGCUUAGAGCCGUUUGAAGGGAGUUGUGAAAUCUUUUGGGAUUUCAAGGCUUCUUAGGCCUUUAUCUUUAUUUUUCUUACUAUUCAAUCUUUUUAAUUUUCUGCUUGUGUCGAUUUCAUUAUCUAACUUGUUUAAACUCUCUUGUUGCAUCUCCAGCCCCGUUCAACCUUCAAAAAUCUGUUCGGCACCAACCUUGGACAACAAGAAACAUUUUGAUUUCACAAAACCCCUCUUUUUUGUCGUCCAAACCCUAGAUAUAAUUGAUUUCGUGAUCUGCUGAGUUUUUAUGAAAUAAACUUGCUGUUUUGUAUUCUUCUUUUUAGAUUCGGCUGUUUGGAACCUAUCUUGAAUUCAAUUUCGUGUUCUUGGCUUCCAAGAUUAGCUAUUCCUAAGUAUUUUUAAUUCUUGGCUGAUCUUUUAUUGAUUUUGGUAUUUUCGUUUCAGAUCUAAUUGAUUCUAAGCCGAAAUUUUUGUUUUCGUUUCAAAUCCAAGCGUUUAGAGUUUUCAUAGGAGUUUCCCGUGACUUGACAACUCGAUCUUGGUCCACGCACAACUCUCUAUCAUUUGGUAUCAGAUUUUGGGCGUUUUGGGUGUUCUUGGGAGAUUUCAAAACUGAUCUCCUUUUAAAAACACUAAACAACAGUUUUUACCCAGAAAAAGUUUUGGGAAAAAAUUCAUUUGAGUGGGUAAACAUUUUCCGAUUGGUCUAAAGUUUUACAUGCAUAUUUGUGGCACUGUGAUAGAAUAUUAAAAAAUAUUUCCCGCAAAAAAAAUCAAUAGAAAAAUUCAAAAAAUUGAAAAGACGAAAUCAAGAAAAAAAUUAAAAAAAUAUUCAGCGGGUUGAGUUUAGUGCCGAACUUUCCAAAUCAAAAAUAAAAUAUUUAAGGAGAUUUCAGUUUAAAUUUCAUGAUUUUUGGAGAUCUGGAACACCUCAAACGAAGUUGUCAAGUUACGCCGCAGUUUUUUCUGGUUUUCGGGUAUCAACAAUUUUUAUUGAUUCUUAGCUGUAGGUUUGCAUUUAUUUUUCUUUUAUUCUUCCUUUAUUUUAUCUAACACCUUCUUAUUUCUUGUGUUAGUAGGAUUUAAAAGUGUGCACAAUUCUUCCUCAGUGCGACACAAAUCAGUUGGUGUCUCAUCACUUUUUGGACUCAUAGUGCAAUUAGGAUUCCUUAUUCAUUUAAGCACCUUGGAAGGAAUGUUACAUUAGCUCCUCUCACACUGAAGCAAGUGCAUGAAGACCAACUCAAGAUGAAGCAAUCUAUUGAUCGAGAAAAAGAAAAAGAGAAAAACAAAAAGAGUGAAAAGAAAAAGAAAGAAAAGAAUGAGGAGAGUGAGAUAAAAACAAGAGUGACAAAAGAAAAAGAGCAAGAGUGUGAAAAUAAAAAAAUAAGUGUUUUUGCUAGAAAAAGAGAGAUUCGAAAAUUGAUGUUGGCAAGGCAACCUAUCUUUGUACUUAUGUAUAAAGAGUGUUUAUUGGAAACUAACGAACUUGACAAUACUUUGCCUACUCCUAUCGUUUCUUUGUUGUAGGGAUUCGGAGAUGUUUUUCCUGAAGAAGUGCCAAAUGGCCUACCUCCCAUUCGAGGAAUCGAGCACCAAAUCGAUUUUGUGCCCGGUGCUGCAAUUCCAAAUAGGCCAGCAUAUAGAAGUAAUCCUGAGGAAACGAAGGAAUUAGAAAAGCAAGUAGCCGAAUUAAUGGAGAAGGGCUACAUCCGUGAAAGCUUAAGUCCGUGCGCGGUUCCGGUAUUGUUGGUUCCUAAAAAGGAUGGAUCCUGGCGAAUGUGCAUUGACUGCCGUGCUAUCAACAAAAUCACAAUAAAAUAUCGCCAUCCUAUUCCCCGCCUCGACGACAUGCUUGAUGAACUUAGUGGAGCCCAAUUGUUUUCGAAGAUCAAUUUAAAAAGUGGGUAUCAUCAAAUUAGAAUGCGGGAGGGAGACGAAUGGAAAACUGCGUUCAAAACUAAAUAUGGUUUGUAUGAAUGGUUGGUAAUGCCAUUCGGACUUACCAACGCUCCGAGUACUUUCAUGCGUCUCAUGAAUUAUGUUUUACGUUCGUUCAUUGGAAAAUUCUGUGUUGUGUAUUUUGAUGAUAUUUUAGUCUAUAGCAAGAGCUUGGAAGAUCAUAUUCAACAUCUACGUGCCGUGCUUGAAGUCUUACGAAAAGAGGUACCUUAUGCCAAUUUAAAGAAAUGUUCUUUUUGCACUAAUGAAGUUGUUUUUCUAGGCUUUGUGGUAAGUGCUCGUGGAUUAGAAGUUGACCAAGAAAAGGUCAAGGCGAUCAACGAAUGGCCGCGUCCAACGAACAUCAGCCAAGUGAGGAGUUUUCACGGGUUGGCAAGCUUCUAUCGAAGGUUUGUGCCUAAUUUUAGUUCUGUAGCUGCACCCUUGACAGGUAUAAUUAAGAAAAAUUCUCCUUUUGUGUGGACUGAUGAACAAGAAAAUUCUUUUAAUAAGCUUAAAGAAUGUCUAACUAAUGCACCAUUGUUGUCUUUACCUGAUUUUAACAAAACAUUCGAGAUAGAGUGUGAUGCUUCAGGUAUCGGCAUUGGCGCUGCUUUGAUGCAAGAUGGACGGCCUAUUGCAUACUUUAGUGAAAAGCUUAACGGGGCUAUGCUGAAUUAUCCAACGUAUGAUAAGGAACUAUAUGCAUUGGUCCGAGCUCUCGAAACAUGGCAACACUAUUUAUGGCCGAAGGAAUUCGUAAUUUAUUCGGACCACGAGGCUCUAAAGCAUUUGAAGGGACAAACCAAGCUCAAUAAACGUCAUGCCAAGUGGGUAGAGUAUUUGGAGUCGUUUCUGUACGUGAUCAAGUAUAAAAAGGGUAAGGAAAAUGUUUUAGCCGACGCCCUAUCACGAAGGUACGCACUUGUCAAUUUAAUGGAUUCUAAAUUGCUUGGUUUCAAAUUUAUCAAAGAUCUUUAUAAAUCUGAUGCUGACUUUGGUGAAAUUUAUGAGUCUUGUUCGCAUGGUGCUUGUGAAAAGUAUUUUCAGCAUAAGGGCUAUUUAUUUCGUGAAGGCAAGCUUUGUGUGCCUCAAAGUUCUGUGAGAAACGUCCUUGUAGAAGAAGCUCAUAGCGGAGGACUUAUGGGCCACUUCGGAAUUGCUAAAACUUUAGCAAUAUUGCAUGAACAUUUCUAUUGGCCCAAAAUGAAACGUGACGUAAUAAGGAAAUGUGAUCGUUGCAUCACUUGUAAGAAGGCAAAGUCACGAAUCAAACCGCAUGGAUUAUACACCCCGUUGCCUAUUCCUGAUGCUCCGUGGGUAGACAUUUCAAUGGACUUCGUUCUGGGCCUUCCAAGAACCAAAAGAGGGAGAGAUUCAAUAUUUGUUGUUGUAGACCGUUUUUCAAAAAUGGCCCAUUUUAUACCUUGUAAUAAAACUGAUGAUGCUACUAACGUUGCUAGUCUGUUUUUCAAGGAAGUUGUUAGGUUGCAUGGGAUCCCUCGAACCAUUGUCUCUGAUCGCGACACAAAGUUUCUAAGUCAUUUUUGGAGGACAUUGUGGGGGAAAUUAGGCACCAAACUUCUAUUUUCGACGACAUGCCACCCUCAAACGGAUGGCCAAACCGAAGUAGUCAACCGUGUGCUAUCAACUUUGCUUCGAGCUAUUUUGAAAAAGAAUUUGAAGAUGUGGGAAGGUUGCUUACCUCAUGUGGAGUUCGCAUACAAUCGAACCGUUCAUUCUGCUACGAAAUUUUCUCCUUUUGAGGUAGUAUACGGUUUUAAUCCCAUUACUCCUCUUGAUUUGAUUCCUAUGCCUUCUAAUGAAUUAGUACAUGUAGAUGGCAAAAAGAAGGCCGAAUUUGUUAAACAAUUGCACAAAAAUGUUAAGGAUAAUAUUAAGAGGAGAACCGAACAAUAUGUUCGAGGGGCAAAUAAAGGGCGCAAACAAGUCGUGUUCGAACUCGGUGACUGGGUUUGGAUCCACAUGCGCAAAGAACGGUUUCCCGAUCAAAGGAAAUCCAAGCUUCAAUCAAGGGGUGAUGGCCCUUUUCAAGUAUUGGAACGGAUCAAUGACAACGUCUACAAGAUUGACCUACCGGGUGAGUAUGCAGUGAGUGCAAGUUUUAACGUUGCUGACCUUUCUCCUUUUGAUGUAGGUGACGAUUCGAGGACGAAUCGCUUCGAAGAGAGGGAGGAUGAUAUGAGCUCGCCCAUAAAGAUAGGUGCCGAAUCCAUGGAGUUGCCUUUGGGGCCAAUUACUCGAGCACGUGCCAAGAAGUUCCAAGAUGCUAUAGCAAGCUAUAUUGCUCGAUUGUGGAGUGAUGGGUUGAUUGCCCAUAAAACGCCCAGCUCAACUAGCUUGAUUCGCAAUUUCCUACAAGCUGAUUUUAGCUUGUGUCAGCUCAAUUUAGCUCAAUUCGGCACUUAAUUAGUUCAAGGAGCUGAUUAAAUUUAUUUUUAAUAAAUUUAAUUAGUUGUGUUAGUUUAGAAUCAGCUCAAAUCAUUUAAUUAAAUAAAUGUGUCUUAAUCUGGACAUUUUUAAUUCAGCUUAUUAAAUAUGUUUUAUAUUAGUACAUGCCUUUAAUAUGUCCAUAUUAAGUCAUAAAUUAAAUGUGUUUAGUUUAAUUACAAAGUUUUAAUGUGUCUUGACUAAGACAAAUUUAUUAGUGGCUGCUAAUUAAUUUGUCUUAGCUGAAUUAAUGUGCAGAAUUUUAAUAUGUCCAGCUGCUGAUUUCAUGAGUAUUAAACUUGUCCUAAUCACAUUUAUUUGAUGUUUUUUCAGCUAGCUUAAUGGCAAAGAAAGCUCAUAAAGAAGGAGCAUGUAUUUGGGCACAUGCAUGGACGGCAUUUAAAGUGCAGCUGCCUUGUGUUUCCAGCUAACUUUUCGUGCAGCUCAAUGGACUUCUAGCUGCUGUUUUUGAGCUUCUCCAAGGGCCAAUUUCGUGGAGAGCAAUGGCCAAAGAGUGCCUCAUAAAUUCCAGCAGCCAAUUCAUGUGGAGGCUAUUCAUAUUCGGCCAAAGAAGCAUAAUUUUUGAAGCUGUCCAUUUCUCUUCUCCAUAGCAGCAAUUAAGCUCUUUUAAAACAUUAACCGAAUGUGAAUUUUCUCCAUUAAAGGGGCCAGCCGAAUCAUCUUUUUCUAGAAGGUUAAUUUUUAGAAUUUCAUCACAUGAAUGUAACUAGGAAAUUUCUAGGAAGUUUCCUCGAGAAACUUAAGGCAUAAGGAUCUGAUUAGAUAGGCUAUUCGGCUGCCUUAGUCAAGCUAUAAAUAGGUCAUGUAAUUCACAUUUUGAGGUUAAUGAACAAUUUGAUAGCUUUGCUAAAUUGUGAGGUUGUUUUCAACUCUCGUUAUUCUCCAAAAACUUGUGAGACUUAUCAAACAUCUUUGUGGCGUCAAACUUGUUUUUGUUUCUUCCCGAACUUAUCACUUUAAUCCCAAAAGUGUGGCGUUCGAUUCAUACUAAGGUUCCUAUCACCAUUGAUAGUGGGUCGAAGUUUCUUUCCAUUUAACAAACCUUCCAUCCAUCCUUACCAACCUAAGCAUUCUCCUAAGUUACGGGUUAACACAUUCCUAUUAUGUUAGUUCGGCUUUCGAAUCCUUAGCCAAAUUGCUUCCAUUGUUUUCUAAUUCAUUUCCUAAACCAACAAAACCUUUUUGAGCCUAAAUAAACCUCUUUCUUCUAGCCUAUUUUGUAAAGCCUCAAUUUACUCCUAAUUCACGAUCGGGCGAUCUUUACGACUCAAUUCGAUCUCGAGGUGAGGGCGUAUCACUAGUGAACAAAACGUUCGACUUGAGGACAAGUCAUUUUGGAGAAGGGGGAAUGACGUGACCACGUCCCAAGCACCACCAAGCCCGAAUCUUGAUUCCAUCGAGCUCCCAAAGGGACCUAUGACUCGAGCUCGAUCCAAACGACUUCAAGAAGUUGUAUUCGCAUUAUUUUAUAGAAUUUGGAAGGAAGAUCAGCUUGUUGAUGAAGGGAACGCUCGGGCUAAGCCAUUGAAGAAUCCAUGCAUUUUAGUGCAAGCUGACUUUAGCUCAAUUUCAACUCCCAUAGCUCAUUUCAGCUCCAAUCAGCUCACUUGAGCUCAAUUCCGACCAUUUGAGCUCAAUCUAGCUUCUUAUUAGCUCGUUAUUUUUAUCUUUUAAAUAAAUUGAGUAUUAUUUUUAUUUUAAUUAGUUUUCUACAGCUCAUGACCAAAUUCGCUAGAUGAAUUUAUUGAUACUUAUAUUUUAUUUGUGUAUUUAUUUUAAUUUAUUAAAUAUGUCUUAAUAUUAUUUAAUCUAAGCUGAAUGUACCUUGAAUCUAAUUUGUUUUUAGCUUUUGUAGGUACAGCCGAAUUUGGACACACAAUUAAUGAGGAUUCAUGAACAUUGUUGAUUCAUUGUACAUGUGGAUGCAUGAAUGUCUUCCUUCAACGAAUGGAUGCUUUAAGGAUGCUACAUGAAUUCUUCAUUACAAUGAAUGGGAGUGUGGAUGAAUGCUCACCUACAUGCAUCAGUUGCUGACAAUUAAACUCUUAUGCACCUAUUCGGCCAAAAGGCAUCUUUUGGAGUGUCCAUCCACACCUUGGCCGAACCUAGACAAGGCUAUUGGCCUCCCAUGCAUUCACCAGCCACCAAGUUCAUUUCCUUAAACAUGAAGAUGCCCAUUGAAGAUCCAUUCAGCCGAAUUUAGAAAAAGCUUUAAGGGAUACAUUUCUAGAUUAGUUUAAUACAUUUAAAGCCAAAUUACUUAGUUUUUAAGUUUGUCCAUUUUGUCCAUUCGGCUAUCAUAUGAAAACUAUAAAUAGUUUAUUUCUUUUUGUAACAAGGUUAGACAUCUUGAAUAUUAAAAACUUGAUUGUGAGGUUACCUCCUUUCUUAUUUCGUUCGAAUCUCGUUCUAACUUAUCUAGCUAGCUAGUGGCGUCAACCCGACUCUUUGAACUUAUCACCAUUCUGGUGUGGUGUUCAUCCAUCGUUUUAUACCUUUGGUUCUUACCUCAAUAUAGGUAACGGGUCAAGGUCCAUCUUCGAUAUUCCAUUAACCCACCUUAAGCAAUAUAAGUCUCGGGGCAAUACUCUCUAUAGUAUUGAAUAGUUCUUGAUACUUAAGUUCACUUUUCCAUCUCCAUCCUAUUUAUUAAAUAUAAAUUGUAUUUCUUUUCUUAUUAAACCGAACCUACAAAAUAUCCAAAUUUAGCCUAUCUUUGGAACCCUUUUAAAAGUCUUCCGCUUAAACUAAAAAUAAUCUUCAUCUUAAAAUAAUUUCAAACGAACUUCUCGUCGACGAUAGGGUAUCUUAAGUGAACACGACUCAAUCAACCGAGCCAGAUCAUGUCAACGUCAAUAGCUCUUCUAGAAGGCUUAAUUUAGCUAGAAAAAUGAAUGUGAUACGAGUCACAAAGCCCAACCCAAGCUCAAUAAUGUGAUGGGCUCAAAUUACCACAAGGCCCAAUAACGAGGUUAAAGGCCAGAAAAAUGCAUUCCAAACUAAAUGGGACCAUUCAGGAAUUUGUUAGCAAGGCCUUAGAUGCGUACACGAAAGAAAGAGAAAAUCAAGAUUCACUUUGUUGUUUUCAAGAAAAUCAAGAAACCGAAUCUUGGCCCAAUUUUGCUGUUUGGAGCGAUUUCAAGAAUCAAGAAAAUCAAGAUUUCAAAUCUUGGAAAUCUUGGUCCAAGAAAUCGAACCUUGCAGCCAAAGCGCAUUGGAUCUCCGUUACGAGCAUCAAUGAACCAAUUUCGAUAGGAGAUGGACUACAAGCCUAAGUUCUUAAAGGCAAGUGAUAGAGGGUUGCGCGCGAACCAAGAUCGAGUUGUCAAGUCACGGAAAACUCCUACGAAAACUCUAAACGUUUGGAUCUAAAAUGAAACAGCAAAACUUAAUUAGAAUCAAUUAGAUCUGGAAACUAAAAAUCCCCAAAUCAAUAAAGAACAGCCAAGAAUCAAAACACUUAUGAAUCGAUGUUCUUGGAAGCCAAGAACACGAAAUUAAGCCCCAAGAUUAACUUCCAAUCAGCCGAAACUAUCAAAGAACACAAAACAACAACUAAAUUAAAAAUAGAUUGCGAAAUCAAUGGACACUAGUUCUAGGGAUUGGACGGCAAGAAAAGGGGGAUUUUUGUGAAUAAAAAAUGUAUCUUUAUGUCCAAGGAAGUUCUGAAUCAGAUCUUGAAGUUUAGAAUGGCUGAAACGAAACAAGAACAAUUAAACCCAAAUUAUUCAACAAAACGGCACAAGCAGAAUUUAAUAAACAAGAAUGAACAAUAAAAGAAUAAAUAAAAGUUCUAAGAAGCCUUGAAAUCGAUAAAGAUUUCACAACUCCCUUCAAACGGCUCUAAUCUCCCCUCCAAUGAAGAACAAUGGCAAGAAGAAGGCUGAAGCUGGCUCCCACAAUCAAAAAGAUUGUUAAAACUACUUCUAAAGAAAACUCAAGAGAAAAUUAUUGAAGAACUCAAAGAGAAUUUUCACUCAAAGCAAAUCUAAAAUUUUCAAUGUAAUUGUAAUGUGUGUCACAAGGGUGGCCGGCCAUGCCUAUAAAUAGGCCUUAUAACUAUUUCCUAAUCUCAUUAGGAAAACUUCAAAAAAACCUAAUUAACAAAUUUAAGAGGGAAAUUUGGCCAAGGCAUUCUAAUGGGCUGCUUGGGCCUAAUUUUUACAUAUAAUACUCCUAAAGUCUAAAAAUUAAAUUAAACAAUUAAAAUUUUUACAAAUUGGGCCACUUUAACAGUUUGGCCUGAUUUUCAACUAAGUAUGGUUUGACUUCUUGGUUGGGCUUGGAAUCCUCUUAUUGGGCCUUGCCUUCAAGAACUUGGGCUUGUAGUCCAUCUCCUACUGAAAUUGGCUCGUUAAUGCUCGUAACGGAGAUCCAAUGCUCUUUGGCUGCAAGAUUCGGUUUCUUGGACCAAGAUUUCCAAGAUUUGAAAUCUUGAUUUUCUUGAUUCUUGAAAUCGCUCCAAACAGCAAAAUUGGACCAAGAUUCAGUUUCUUGAUUUUCUUGAAAACAAGAAAGUAAAUCUUGAUUUUCUCUUUCUUUCGUGUACGCAUCUAAGGCUUUUGUGACUCGUAUCAUUCCCCCUUAUUCAAAAAGAUUCGUCCUCGAAUCUAAAAAAUCAAAUGGAGAUAAGUCAACCACAUUGAAAGUAGAACUUAUAGUCCAAACAUAAGCAUAACAAAACAAGUAUAGUGCAUGCGAAUGGACAGAUUCAGAUUACCAUGCAAACAAGCUAAUUUACUCGCCAAUACCUUGUAAAAUAUUUGAAACAAAUAUGGACAUGUUUUAAGGUAUUCAAUCAUCUCAAAUUGUUUCCACAAACCAUGAAUAUAUCGCGAGUAAUAAAUCAAAUGGUAAACGUAAUCAUCACAAGUAGGUAUCUCAAAAGGUUCACACGGUUCACAGAGUUGCACAAUCAUACCAUGCAGUAAUCGAUGGUCUAUAGAUUCACUCACACAUGCAUUAUCAAAAACAAGAAUCUUUUUAUCAACCAUCAAAACAGAUAGAUCAUCAGUAAAUAAAAUAGGACAGUCAAGCACGUUUUGAUCUAAGUGUUUUACUAAAAUUAAAUAUCAACACGAUCUUUGUCACUAUCCGAGGAGUACAAAAGUGUUUCAAAAGUUUCAAGCAUAUUACCUUUAUAAGCAGAAGAAGAAGGGUCGAUUUUACCUUUUCCAUUUAAUACAAACCUUUGCUCAUCGGGGGCAUAGUGUAGUUGAAGCUCUGUUGUUAAGUUAACCUUUGUCAAAUGGAACUCAAACUUCAUGUACAACCACCUAAACUGUUUAAGGCAUGAAUAUAAAUUGAAAAUAAAUUUUGCAAAUUUCGUUACCUUAUUCACCAAAAUAGAUUUGUACAAAUUCGCAGAUUUUACACAAGGCAAAUCAAGAGAAUAACAACUCACGCUUCCUUUCGUAAUGACUUUAUCAACCACAAUCGAAGAAUAACAAUUAAUCGGAUCAAAAUGAGGGGAUCUUUUAAGAAUAAAGUCACCAAAAGUUUUAUCAAUAAUUUUCAAAUCUGCACAGGACUCGGUUGAUAAAAUUUCCUUACCUCGCUUACCUUCGGGCUCAUGUAGUGUGAUUUCAUCUUUGCCUAUGUUGAUUGUAUGAAAGCGUCUUUCAUCGGAAAGAUAUUGAAGUUGGAAGUUAUCUUUCAUAUGUGGCCAACGGAAGUGUUCUAUCCCACGCAAAGGUGAUAAACCUUUAGGAGCCUCACUAAAAACAUCCUCAUAACCCUGCGAAAAACAUUGAAACACACUAGGAAAAUUUUCAUUAAUGUUAGAUAGAGAUAAAUAAUUUUGCCUAAACCUCACAAGGAUACAAGGCUGUUCAUUGAAUAGGUCUCUCUGCACAUCUUUUUUUGUUGCAAUUAAAAUUUUCACUCUAUUUUUACCACUUGCGGAUUCACUCACCUUUGGGCCAUUUAAAUUUAGACUUUUUUUCAGUACUAGCCUCUUUUCUCUCUGUCUUUUUUAUUUGUCCUUUCUCCCUCACCCCCUCACAAAAUUUCAUCAUUUUUAAUUGUUCUUUAUAUACAUCACUGGGAUUUAAAGGAGCAAGAGUGAAUUUUCGGCCUUUAAACAUAAGAGAGUAUCUAUUAAGCUUGCCUUGGUGUGUAACAUCACGAUCAAAUUGCCAAGGCCGUCCAAGGAGCAAGUGUGCCGCAUGCAUUGGGACCACAUCACACCAUACCUCAUCCUCGUAAUUCCCAAGCUUAAAAGUGAUCAAGGACUGCUUUGUAACUUUAACUUCUGAGCAUUCAUUAAGCCACUGAAGGUGAUAUGGCUUAGGGUGCUCGAUACAAGGUAACUUUAAGGAAUCCACCAAAUAGUUGCUAACUACAUUCGAACAACUCCCACUAUCAAUAAUAAGUGAACAUAAGUUACCUUUUAUAAGACACCUAGAAUGGAAAAUAUUGGUCCUUUGGUUAUCACAAUCGUCUCCCAAUUGGAUGUUAAGGGUGCGGCAGACUACCAUCUUAUUUUUUUUCUCUUUUUUUUUGAAAUACCUGUAAAAUAAAUACUCAACACUCAAAAGAAAAAUUAGCAAACCUCACCGUUAGUCACUCCAAAAGAAAAAUCAAAUUCACAAUAAGGUAGAAUUCAGUCUUGUGAGUUCUUUAGUAGAGUCUAUAUCAACCAAUUAGAAAGUGUAUGAACCAAAACUAACAAAGAGUCCUAAUUUGCACUAGGAUGACAAAAACUUACGAGACACCAAUUGAUUUGUGUCGCACCGAGGAAGAAUUGUGCACACUUUUAAAUCCUACCAACACAAGAAACAAGAAGGUGCUAGAUAUUAUAAAGGAAGAAUAAAGGCAAACAAAUGAAAACCUACAGCUAAGAAUAAAUAAAAAUUGCUGAAAUCGAAAAACCCGAAAAAUUGCGGAGUAACUUGACAACUUCGUUCGAGGUGUUCCCGAUCUCCAAAAAUCACGAAAUUAAAUCUGGAAUGUCCUUAGAUAUUGAAUUUUUUAUUUGGAAAUUUUGGGCCCCAAACUCAACCUGCUGAAUAUUUUUUAAAAUUUUUAUUGGAUUUCACUUUUUUCAAUUUUUGACUUUUUUGACUGUUUUUUUGCUGGAAAUAUUUUUUUAUAUUCAAUCACAGUGCCAAAAAUAUGCAUGUAAAAUUUCAGAUCAAUCAAACAACGUUUACCUACUCAAAUGAAUUUUUUGCAAAAAAAUUUUUUGGGUAAAACUGCUGUUUGUAGUUUAAAAAAAUAGAGAUUAGUUUAGAAAUCAACCAAGAACACCCAAAAUGCCCAAAAUCUGAUACCAAAUGAUAGAGGGUUGCGCGCGGACCAAGAUUGAGUUGUCAAGUCACGGGAAACUCCUACGAAAACUCUAAACGUUUGGAUCUAAAACGAAACAGCAAAACUUAAUUAGAAUCAAGUAGAUCUGGAAACUAAAAAUCCCCAACUCAAUAAAGAACAGCCAAGAAUCAAAACACUUAUGAAUAGAUGUUCUUGGAAGCCAAGAACACGAAAUUAAGCCCCAAGAUUAACUUCCAAUCAGCCGAAACUAUCAAAGAUGACAAAACAACAACUAAAUUAAAAACAGAUUGCGAAAUCAAUGGACACUAGUUCUAGGGAUUGGACAACAAGAAAAGGGGGAUUUUUGUGAAUCAAAAACGUUUCUUUAUGUCCAAGGAAGUGCCGAAUCAUAUCUUGAAGUUUGGAAUGGCUGAAACAAAACAUGAAUAAUUAAUCCCAAAUUAUUCAACAAAACGGCACAAGUAGAAUUUAAUAAAGAAGAAUGAACAGAAAAAGAAUAAAGAAAAGUCCUAAGAAGCCUUGAAAUCGAUAAAGAUUUCACAACUCCAUUCAAACGGCUCUAAUCUCCCCUCCAAUGAAGAACACUGGCAAGAAGAAGGCUGAAGAUGGCUCCCACAAUAAAGAAGAUUGUUAAAACAACUUCUAAAGAAAACUCAAGAGAAAAUUUUUGGAGAACUCAAAGAAAAUUUUCACUCAAAGCAAAUCUAAAAUUUUCAAUGUAUUUCUAAUGUUGUUUACAAGGGUGGCCGGCCAUGCCUAUUUAUAGGCCUUAAUAUUUUCCUAAUCAUAUUAGAAAACUAAAACUAAAAAAACUCCUAAUUAAAUAUUAAAGAGAAAUUCGGUCAAGGGCCUUAAAUUGGGCCUCUUGGACUGAAUAAUUACAUAACAAUUAAUUUAGAAAGUCUAAAAUUGAAACUAAGAAUUAAAUUUUUACAAAUUGGGCCACUUUAACGAUUUGGCCUGAUUUUCAACUAAGUAUGAUUUUGACUUCUUGGUUGGGCUUGGAAUCGUCUUAUUGCGCCUUGCCUUCAAGAACUUGGGCUUGUAGUCCAUCUCCUACCAAAAUUGGUUCGUUGAUGCUUGUAACAGAGAUCCAAUGCGCCUUGGCUGCAAGAUUCGAUUUCUUGGACCAAGAUUUCCAAGAUUUGAAAUCUUGAUUUUCUUGAUUCUUGAAAUCGCUCCAAACAACAAAAUUGAGCCAAGAUUCAGGUUCUUGAUUUUCUUAAAAAUAAGAAAGUGAAUCUUGAUUUUCUUUUUCUUUCGUGUACGCAUCUAAGGCCUUGCUAACAAAUUCUUAAAUGGUCCCAUUUAGUUUGGAAUGCUUUGUCGGGCCUUUGACCUCGUUAUUGGGCCUCGUGGUAAUUUGAGCCCAUCAUGUUCUUGAGCUUGGGUUGGGCCUUUGUGACUCAUAUCAUUCCCCCCUUCCUCGAAAAGAUUCAUCCUCGAAUCUAAAAAAUCAAAUGGGGACAAUUCAGCCACAUUAAAAGUAGAACUCACAUUGUACUCACCAGGUAGAUCAAUCUUAUAGGCAUUGUUGUUGAUCCGCUCGAGUACUUGGAAAGGGCCAUCGCCCCUUGGGUCCAACUUGGACUUUCUUUUUGUAGGAAAUCGUUCUUUCCUCAUAUGGACCCAAACCCAAUCUCCGGGUUCUAGGACAACCUGUUUGCACCCCUUGUUUGCUUUGUUGGUGUUGGCAUCAUUUGUUUUGGCUAUUCGUUGCCUAGCCUUCUCAUGUAAGGAUUUCACCAACUCAGCUUUCUGUUCGCCAUCUAAAUUAACAAUGUGUUCAUGUAAGAAUUUGUUAGCAAGGCCUUAGAUGCCAUGUACAUGAAGGAAAGAGAAAAUCAAGAUUCACUUUCUUGUUUUCAAGAAAAUCAAGAAACCGAAUCUUGGCCCAAUUUUGCUGUUUGGAGCAAUUUCAAGAAUCAAGAAAAUCAAGAUUUCAAAUAUUGGAAAUCCUUGUCCAAGAAACCGAAUGUUGCAGCCAGAGCGCAUUGGAUCUCCGUUACGAGCAUCAACGAGCCAAUUUCGGUAGGAGAUGGACUAGAAGUCAAAUCAUACUUAGUUGAAAAUCAAGCGAAAUUGUUAAAGUGGCCCAAUUUGUAACAAUUUUAAUUGUUUAAUUUAAUUUUUAGACUUUAGGAAUAUUAUAUGUAAAAAUUCAGCCCAAGCAGCCCAUUAAAAUGACUUGGUCGAAUUUCCCUCUUAAAUUUGUUAAUUAGGUUUUUUUAAGUUUUCCUAAUGAGAUUACGAAAUAGUUAUAAGGCUUAUUUAUAGGCAUGGCCGGCCACCCUUGUUACACACAUUACAAUUACAUUGAAAAUUUCAAAUUCUCUCUGAGUUCUUCAAGAAUUUUCUCUUGAGUUUUCUUUAGAAGUAGUUUUAACAAUCUUUUUUUAUUGUGUGAGCCAUCUUCAGCCUUCUUCUUGCCAUUGAUCUUCAUUGGAGGGGGAGAUUAGAGCCGUUUGAAGGGAGUUGUGAAAUCUUUAUCGAUUUCAAGGCUUCUUAGGACUUAUAUUUAUUUCUUGCUGCCAUUCUUUCUUUUUAAAUACUGCUUGCGUCAAUUUUAAUUUAAUUAAUUUGUUUGUUGUUCUUGUUGCGUUUCAGACUUUCUAAAACAUCCAAGAUCUGAUUCGCCUCCUUCUUCAUUAAAGAUCAGAUCACCCCCUUAUGAUGUGAUCUGGCCCGGGUUAAUUGAGUCAUUUCGCAAAGUUGCCCGAUCGUCUACGAGGAGUAGUUGGAGUUGUCAAAAUUGGGUGAUUUAGGCUAAGGGUUGCAAAAGCUUUGAGAGGGGUUUAGAUGAGUGGUUUGGUGUUGAUAAAUUCGGUUUAGAAUAGAAACAAGGUAGGUUAGAAAAAGAUAAUUGAUGGAGAUGGAAAAUAAAACUUAAACGUCAAGAAUGUUCAAUACUAAAAAGUAUUGCCCAAGUCUUAUAUUGCUUAAGGUGAAAUUUGAUGAAGGAUAGAAGCGAACCUUGACCCAAUACCUAUAUAGAGGUAAGAACCAAAGGUAUAAAAAUAUGGUUGAACGCCACACCGGUUUGGUGAUAAGUUCAAUUGAGUUUGGAUGGACGCCACUAGCAAGCUAGAUAAGUCGCUUCGAGACUCGAACGAAAGAAGAGAGGAGGUAACCUCACAAGAACAAAAGUUCUAUUAAGUUUAAUAAUCAAAUUCUGUAACCUUUUACAAUAAACAAGUAAGCUAUUUAUAGGCCAAGACUAAGCUAGCCGAAUGGGCAACUUAAUGGCUAAGAAUUCAGCCAUGAAUAUGCUAGAAAUUUCUAGAAAGAAAUCAUUAAUUUGCUGUAGCUAAAUUCAGCUGAAUGUGCAUGAAUGAAGCAUUAAAAAUUCGGUUCUUGUUUGGAGAUGAUGCAUGGAUUGACCGAAUCAUCAUGUUGCUUCACUUGAUGCAUUCAUGCAUCCUUAACCCUGAAGAAUCUCCAUAAUUCCAUGAAUGUGCAGCCCUUUAAUGAUCCUACAUCUCCCUUGGCUGAAUGAGGCAUUAAUGUGCCUAAAAUACUUGAAUGGUCAUCUUGAAAAUGCAUGAAUCAUGCAUGAAACGUCCCAUGUACUUUUCCCCCAUAAAUAUGAUCCAUGAAUCUUCAAAUACAUGAACUUUCAGCAACUCCCUCUUGCAUGAACGUCCCAAAUGCAUGUGCUACUUUAAAUGCCAUCCAUUGAACCUCAAUUGUGCAUGCACAGUCCCAUACAUUGCACCAAUCCGUUCAUGAACCUGCAGCAAAUAACAUCAGCAAGUUAAAUGCAUUUCAGACACAUUAAAUUAGCAGCAUAUGAACUCAAUAAUUUGCACAUUAAAUUUGGGCAUACAUAUUAACAAAUUCAGACAUAUUUAAAACAUCAUAAUUAGUUAAGUAUUUAAUUUAGAUAUAAUUAAAACACUUAAUUAAUUAUUUGUCCAGAUUUUAACAAAUUAAUUAACUUAAAAUAAACAACUAAUUCAACUAAAGACAAAUUAAAUGGUUUAUUUCAGCAAAAUAAAUGCAAACUAAAGAAAGCUAAAAAUAAGCUCAUUGGGUUAAGAUUGAGCUGAAUUGAGCUCGAAUGAGCUGACUUGAGCUCAAGUGAGCUGGAAAUGAGCUUAACGGAGCUCAACGAAAAGGAAUUGAACUAAUUCAGCUCGCAUGGAUUUGCAAACAAUGCUUAGGGAGCUAGUCCAAAAGUGUGCCCGAGGCGUGGUCGUAUCAUCCCCUCCCUCUUUAAAGCGAUUUGUCCCCAAAUCGGGCCAUUUGCUCGCGAAAAAUCGUUCAAGAUUUUGAAAGCCACAAAUGGCUUGGAUCGAAAGAAGCUCAUUCGCAUGCCCUCCCUCUUUAGAAGGGUACCGCCUCACAUCGUUACCUAUAAAAGAAUAAAACGAAUUAGUAGCACGAUGAAGGUUAAGCACAAAGGAACUUUCUGAAAUUUGAUUCACAAUUCGAACAAAUAAACUGAUACCAGGGUCAAAAAUAGAAAUUGUUCUUACCAUUUUUUUCGAUAGAAACAAACCUAAAUCACAAAACAAUCGAAAGGCAUAAUCUCGAAGGUCAGAAUUACAAAAUCCAAGCCCUUUUAACAAGAACAAAGAAUAAUAAUCUCCGGGGUCAAAAACAAAAUUUUCUCUUGCCAUUCCAAUUUGAUUUGGCAAUUUCAUGACAGACUUCAUAGAAAGAACACUAAGCAACUCAAAAUCAUUAUCAUGCAAAACAUGUUCGGAUCUUUUAGACCACAGUUGAGAACAACCUCCGGAAACAAAAUUUUGAUUUUGACUUAACAAACCAACAAGAUUCACAUGUCUCAUUUUCAAACUUAAAGACAAAGCAUCAUACAAACAAAGAUUGUUUACACAUUCAUUCAAACAAAAUUUACGAUGCUUGCUUUCUUUCAUGGAUGAUUCAUAAUAACAAACUCCAGGAUUAAACACAUGAUUUUGACUACUCGAUCCAAAUGGCAACGAGGGUGUUAGCAUACUCAAAUUCAAACAAGCAAACCCUUUAAAUUUCGUUCGAAAAUAUUUACGAAAACAUGGAAAUUUCACACCACAAAUUAGAUAAUUCACAUGAUCAACACAACCAAAUAGAUGAUAUGUCGACUUUUGAUCACAUAAUUCCAUAUUUUGUUGGUGCUGUUUUAUUCGUUCUUCAUCAAAAAUCUUGCUGAUGCCAUACUCAUCAAUACAUUUCCAUUCCUUUUCAACAGGAUCAGUUAGAAUGAACAAAUUAUACGGACUUUCAUCUCGAGCAUCCAAAACAUGCAUUCCAUUGCAAGUUAAAGAUAAACAACCAAUACCAUCAAGAAAAUAAUAUUUUUCAAAAACAAGAAUCUUCUUAUCAUCAAACAAAACAAAUGGAUCAUCAUCAAUCAAAGAAUGACAAGUAGCCACGUCGAAGUUUAGAUUUUUUUCUAAAGCCCAAAUCAUCAACAAUGUGUCCACCAACAAUCGAAUAAGGCAGAGGUGCUUUAAAAUUUUCAACAUUCAUACCUUGCUUACCUUGAAACAUUAGAAGAAUGAUAUCUUGCAAUUGAUCGUGAUGGAAAUCAGUAGGAAACAAAUGAUGAUUAGAGCAUUGCAAGACUCUUUUCAAGGAAAAAUCAACAUUUCGAUCCAGGGUUAAACAACAAAACAAAUGUUUGAAUGGGCUUUCUCUAAGACCAACAAAAUGGCCGAAUUGAUCGAUAGAAAACAAAUCACAAUCAGAAUGAAGACCAAAAAGAUUCUUACUAGACUUACCUUCAAAAGUUUGAAAAUUAUUCACAACAUCCAACUUACCUUUUUCAAUUAAUUGAAAACGUCGUAUGUCAGAAAGAUAAUGAAGUUGGAACCAGUCCGUGGGUGAAAUUUUGCAAACCUGAAACGAAGAAGAAUCAAAAGGCAAACUCAAACAGGGGUUAGCAAAAAUUUUCCUUACUUUUUCUUGCUUGCUUUCUUCACUCGUUUCUUUUGCGAACUCUUUUUCUUUUCCACUCGAUUUCUUUUCAAGCUCUCUUUCAAUUUCUUUUUCCACUCUUUCAAUUUCUUUUUCAAUCUCUUUUUGCUUUUCACUCUCUUUUAUUUUUGAAAUCUCAUUUUCAUAUUUUUCUUUUUCAUUUCUUUCAUUUUCAUUUUCUUUAUUCUUUUCUCGCUCAAAAUCUUUUACAACCAAAUUUUUCAAUUUGAUUUGGUCCUCAUGGACUUGUUCUGGUGUGAGUGGUGCUAAGGUGAUUUUCCUUCCUUGAUGCUUGAAGACCUAUUGGUACGUUCAUCGUGAGUGACCUUGUGAUCCAAUUGCCAUGGUGCUCCCAGCAACAAAUGGCAAGCUUGAAUAGGUACCACAUCACAAACGACUUUGUCUUGGUAUCUGCCGAUGGAAUAUGCAACACGCACUUGUUGAGUAACUUCAAAUUCACCUUUGUCGUUAAACCACCGCAGCUUAUAAGGUUGGGGAUGCUCGGUAACGAGUAAGCCAAGUUUUUCCACCAUUCUAGUGCUGGCCACAUUUGAACUAAUGUCACCAUUAACAAUGAUGCAAUAAAUUUUAUCGUGGACACGGCAUCGAGUAUGAAACAGAUUCUUAUGUUGCAGUUCGUUCUCCAAUUGUUGAAGACUUGAACUCAUUUUGAUGUCAACGUUAACAGGUGUCAAAUCUUCUUUAUCUUUGUCGGAUAGUACUUGGAGUUCUCCUUUUUGUAUUCGUCGGAAUUCAGAUCGCAUUAUCCUUUGCAUUUCUCGCUUCCAUACUUGGAAUUCACAUUCAGAAAAUUCUUCAGACAUGUUUCAACAAAAUGUUAGAAAACACAAGAUAAAUUAGAAAGAAAAAUAAUCCUCACCACAAAAUCUCACAAGUUCUCUCGCAAAGAAAAUAAUAAAUGGCACACCACUCGUGUUUCACUCUUAUUUGGCUUUUCUUCUCUUAAAUGAACUCACGCUCUCUUGCCUUUUACCAUUCAACCUCGUCUCAUAAAUUCGUAAUUCGUCUCGGUAGACUUAAUUUGCUGCUUGAGGGUCGGUUUCAAAAUGGGUUACAAGGGAUAAUGUCAGGUGUAAGGUAGGCUGAACAAAGAAAAAAAUUGGUUUAAAGUGUGGCGUUAGGAUGGGUAAAUAAUGGUAGGAAGGGAAACUUGAUGAUCGGAGUAAUAAGAGAUGAAAAUAAAACUCGCAAGACUUUUCACUUCUUUUUUUUACUUUUUGUUUCUGUUUUUUUUUUGCUCACUUCUUUUUUUUUCUUUUUUUUUUUGAAUUUUUAUGAAUUUUAUUUUUUUUGUGAUACUCCAAUACAAUAGUAAGGUAAAUACAAGGAAGGAAAAAAAUUAAAUUACAACUCAAAAUUUUUUUUUGAUUUUUUUUCACGUUCCGAACCUACUUGCGGCCUUGUUACGAACGUCGGUGCUCCUCGUUUUACAAGCUCUGAUACCAAAUGAUGUGAUCCGGCCUGGGUUAAUUGAGUCGUUUCGCAAAGUUGCCCGAUCGUCUACGAGGAGUAGUUGGAGUUGUCAAAAUUGGGUGAUUUAGGCUAAGGGCUGCGGAAGCUUUGAGAGGCGUUUAGAUGAGUGGUUUGGUGUUGAUAAAUUCGGUUUAGAAUAGAAACAAGGUAGGUUAGAAAAAGGUAAUUGAUGGAGAUGGAAAAUAAAACUUAAACGUCAAGAAUGUUCAAUACUAAAAAGUAUUGCCCGAGUCUUAUAUUGCUCAAGGUGAAAUUUGAUGAAGGAUAGAAGCGAACAUUGACCCAAUACCUAUAUUGAUACGACCCUGGCCAAGGAUGCCCUUGAUUUCAGCUUGAAUUCAGCUCCUCAAGCUCCAUUUAGCUUGGUUCAGCUCACCGAAUUUUAUUUUAGCUCACAUGAGCUUAAUUCAGCUUGUUUGAGCUUGGUUUAAAUUCAAUUCAGCUCAUUAUUAGCUCUUUAGCUAAAUUAAUUUUAUUUGCUGGAAUAAAUUAAUUAUUUAAGUUAAUUAGUUAAUUUAGUUACAGCUCUUAAUUACUUGUCAGCUUAUUACAUGUUAUAAUUAUGUUGUGUUAGCCGAAUUUAAUUAGGUGGCUGGAUUAUAUUUAAUUUGUCUUAAUACCAUUUAGUUCAGCCGAAUAUACAUUUGCACUUAAUUUAGUUCAUGUUUUUUCUUGUAGGAUGGCUGAAUGCAUGAAGGAGCAUUAAAGUCCAAGUGCAUGAAUGGUUCAAUACAACGUAUGGGAUUAUACAUGAAUGGCUGAAUACAUGAAUGGUUGGAUUCAUGGAUAUGGCUCAUUUUUAUGAUAAUUCAAGGUGUUAAUUCAGCCAAGAAGAGCAACUAAAUUCAUUCUCCAAAAGCUGGCUGAUGCACUUCCCAAAAUAGCACCUAUGCGUUCACAUUUGGAGUUCACACCAAGGACCAUUUGGCUGAUCAUUGUUCACACUUCCAAAGACUUUUCCAACUUCUUUUUCACACCUUCAAGGCUGUUCACGUUCACCUUUAAUGCUGGUCUCUUUUCAGCCAAGAAUUACAUUUUAAUGAGCUCAUUUAAGCUCAAUUGGCUGAACCUAGCUGCUGCCAUUUCUCCAAGUGCAUUUGCUCUUCUAGAAAUCGUCCCUUGAGCUUCAAAUUCAACUGAAUUUAGCUCCAGCAAUUUAGUUUUUUAUUUCCAAAAUUUUUUAGCAUUUUUCUAGCCUAAUUAAUCACUUAGACAUUAAGUCUUUGUUUUGGCCAUUCGGCUACCUAGCUGAACACUAUAAAUAGUUGUUCAUUUUCAUUGUAAAAGGACUUUUUGACUUUUGAUCAUUUGAAUGAACGUUGUUCAAAGAGUGAGUUUUCUCCUCUCUAAAUUCGUACGAGUUUCGAUCUGACUUAUCUAGCGUGCUAGUGGCGUCUAUCGUUCUCUUUUGAACUUAUCACCUUGCUUUGGUAUGGCGUUCAACCCUUCUACAAUUCCGUAAUCCCACCUUGAACCGAAUAGAAAUCGGGGUGACACUUUUUAGUGUUGAAUCGUUUCUGGUGUUUAAGCUCAUUUAUCCAUUCCACCGUCUAUCCUAGAUUUUACCCAACUAUAAUAUCUUUUUACAAAACCGAGCCUUCAUUUACCAACUUCCAUUUUUUUUCUUAUUUUUAUCCUUAAAUCGAGCCUACUACCCUUAUAAAUUUACCAUCACCUUAGCCAACCUUUAAAACCAUUUGAAAAGCUUCCGCAUCUUUAGCCUUAUCUCAUCCUAUUUCCGAUAACUCAACUAUUCCUCGUCGACGAUCGGGCAAUUACGUGAAACGACUCAAUUAACCCGGGCCGGAUCACAUCAUUUGGUAUCAGAGCUACUAAAACGAGGAAUGCCGACGUUCGUACCAAGCUCGGAGUAGGUUCGUAACGUGAAAAAAAAAAUUUAGGUUGUAAUUUUUUUUUCUCUUCUUCCUUUGUAUUUCAGCAUAUUUUAAUUGAAAAAAAAUCAAAAAAAAAGAGAAGAGGAAAUUUGAAAAAAAAUUCAAAAAAAAAAUUCAAAAAAAAAAUUUUGAAGUAUAAAAAAAAGUGAAAAGUCUUGUGAGUUUUAUUUUGUUUCUUGUUGCUUCCGAGCAUCCAUUCAUUCUACCAUUCCCUCUACCCCCCAAAACGCCACACAUACUUUGAUUUUUUAUUUUCUUUGUUUAGCCUACCCUACACCCGACGUUAUCCCUUGUAACCCAUUUGAAGCCGACCCUCUAAGCCGCAAUAAGUCUUCUUGAAACAAAAUACGAAUUCACGAGAGUGAGACGAGCGGAAAAAGGCACGAGUGGUGAGUACAUUAGAGCGAGCAAAAGCCAUUAAACAAGUGUAAACACGAGUGGAGUGUUAUCCAAUUUUCUUUGUGAGUGAAACGUGAGAUUUUUGUGGUGAGGUAUUUAAUUUUUGUUUUGUUUUAAUCAUUUUUUUAGUAAUUAAAUCAUGUCUCAAGAAGAAUUCUCUACUGAUGAAUUUCAAUACUUGGUGAACGAGAUGGGCCAAAUUUUGGAGGAAAAACUAAGCCCAUUAAAAAGAUGUUUGAACCGAGUGGAGGAAAAGUCCCAACGGAAACAAAAUCCACCAAGUCGAGAAAUGGAGUUGAGAUCAUCACGGCAAUACGCGUCCAAAGACUACUCACUAAGAGAUUCUUAUCGGGAUUUCUAUUCAACGAGGAACUCAAGACGAAGCAAAGCAAGUUUUGAGUUUGAAGCUUUUCAAGGUGACGAACGAGGAAUCACAAGUAGUCCUUCAUAUGCACCAAGGUAUUCGUCCGCCAAGAAUCAAUCUCGAAGAGGUGAUCAUUUUUUGUAUGAAAGUCAUUCUAAUUAUACCCAACGAGAGUCAUUUUGUGCUGAUUCUUUUGCAACAUCUCCAUCCUAUAAUGAAAGAGCGAGGCAAAAAGAAAAAGAAAUAAGAAGAAAAGAAAGACAAGAAAUGUUGAUGAGAGAAAAUGAGCAUAUAUGGAAUGAAAUCGAGAGACGAAAAAAAGAAAUGAAAGAAAAGGAACAAGAAAUCAAAAAAGUGAGAAAAAGAAAAUGAAGAGAAAGAAUUCAAAAAAGAAAUUGAGAUUGAACAAGAGUGCAAGCGAGAAAGAGAAAUCGAAAGAAAAGAAGAAAAGAUUGAAAAAGAAAAAGAAAUCCAAAAAGAGAGUGAGGUCGAAAAUAAAAUUGAAAAUGAGAGGGGAAAUGAAAAGAGAAAAAAAGAAGUUGAGAUUAGAAAAGAAACGAGAGAAAAAGAGAUAAACGAACCAGAAAAAGUGAGGAGCAUUUCGACUAAUCCAUAUGAAACUUGUUCUUGUUCUGUUUCUUCUUUCCAGGUGCCCGAGAUAUCAAACGAUAAUUUUCAACUUCACUACCUUUCCGAUGAAAGACAUUUUCAUAUGGUCAAUAUAGGUAAGGUUGAAGAUGAAAACGUGCCCCAAGAGUUCAAAGGUAAGAGAGGUGAGGAAAUGUUAACGAUCGAGUCACGACCACCAGGUUUGAAAAUUAUUGAAAUACUUUUUAGUGACUUAAUUUCUAAACGCUCUCCUUAUUUUGGUCUGAUUAAUUGCUACUCCCUGAAUGUGGUUGAUUUUUGUUCCAAUCAACAAACCAAAGAUUUAAUUUUGCGUGAUGACGGUUUUUCACGAAAGGCGAUUAAAAUUUUCAUUUGUGACAAUUUUGUGCACCAAUUAACGCUUUGUGGAAAAUCCAUGAAUUUGUGCAAGUAUGAAUUGAUGAAUGUAAAAAGUUUUAAUUGUUUGUCCCUUUGUAUGCAAAAAUCCCAUUGGUUUAACGUGUUUGGUUUAAUGAAAUUUUUGCUACAUUUUGGCAUGAAUACUCAAAAUCAAGUUUUUAAACCCGGAAUCUAUUUUGGUUCGUUUUAUGGGAAAGUCAAGCUUCAUCAAUUUUGUGUGAACAAUUUCUAUUGUUUUGAUAAUUGGGUGUUGAAUAAGGAACUGAGGUAUGAAAAAUUUGAUUUCAAUUUAAAUUCAUUCCUUAAUCCAUUUUUGUGGUUGUAUUUGAAGUUCGUAUUUCAUUUCGUUAAGGUUAAUUCAGCCACAGAGAUUCGACUAGACUACAUUUCCGAGGAGAGAAGAUUUAUGAUGAUCGACAAAGGUAAAAAUGAUCCUUUCUUUUCCAUCCCUCGAGGUAAACAAGGUAUGACUUACGAUAACUUUAAAAUUUCUCUGCCCUAUUCGGUUGGUAAUAAAAUUUUUGUUGAAGAAUUGGUUGUUGCAAGGAAUUUAAAUUGUGAUGUGUUUAACUGUUCAGCUUUAUUUAAAAAUGAAUCAUCUGUUUUUAUUGAUGCUGAUGAUGUGAUUUUGGAAGAACCAAUCGUUCAAUUUCCAUUGCAAGGUUUUACUGUGCAUUCAUCUGUUUGUGAUAAAAAUUUGUGUUCAAUAAGUUGUGGUGAGGAGUUUAUCUGCUUGAUCGAUGAACGGAUUAAGUUGAAUGUGUCCACAUGUCUCUUGAAAAUUUUUGGUAAGAUUCUCCUUGAUGACAAGUUUGUUGAAAAGGUGAAAGAUCAAUGGCCACUGUUAAGCUUAACUAUGCAAGAUUUAAGCCGAUUAAGUGGUAAAAUCAUAACUUGCAAAAAGCUUUGUUCAAUCGAUUGUGGGUAUGAAAUUUGGAAAAUACCUUCUUGCAAGGAUUAUGAAUGUUCUACCCAAAUGGUACUUGGGCCACAUAUUUGCUCAAAUGAAUUCUUGAUGAUUUGUGAUUACUCAUUUAAAAUAAUUCCUUCGUUUGAUGAGACUUUGUAUGGUGAAGAUGUAACAAAACAGUUUGGUGGUUUAUUUUAUUUGUGUUCGAUUCUGUUUGAUCGAGGAAAGAUGAGUACGCGGAGCUAUGAUCGAGUGAACCAACGGCUCGACUUGAGGAUAAGUCGUUCUAAAGAAGGGGGAAUGAUACGACCCUGGCCAAGGAUGCCCUUGAUUUCAGCUUGAAUUCAGCUCCUCAAGCUCCAUUUAGCUUGGUUCAGCUCACCGAAUUUUAUUUUAGCUCACAUGAGCUUAAUUCAGCUUGUUUGAGCUUGGUUUAAAUUCAAUUCAGCUCAUUAUUAGCUCUUUAGCUAAAUUAAUUUUAUUUGCUGGAAUAAAUUAAUUAUUUAAGUUAAUUAGUUAAUUUAGUUACAGCUCUUAAUUACUUGUCAGCUUUAUUACAUGUUAUAAUUAUGUUGUGUUAGCCAAAUUUAAUUAGGUGGCUGGAUUAUAUUUAAUUUGUCUUAAUACCAUUUAGUUCAGUCGAAUAUACAUUUGCACUUAAUUUAGUUCAUGUUUUUUUCUUGUAGGAUGGCUGAAUGCAUGAAGGAGCAUUAAAGUCCAAGUGCAUGAAUGGUUCAAUACAACGUAUGGGAUUAUACAUGAAUGGCUGAAUACAUGAAUGGUUGGAUUCAUGGAUAUGGCUCAUUUUUAUGAUAAUUCAAGGUGUUAAUUCAGCCAAGAAGAGCAACUAAAUUCAUUCUCCAAAAGCUGGCCGAUGCACUUCCCAAAACAGCACCUAUGCGUUCACAUUUGGAGUUCACACCAAGGACCAUUUGGCUGAUCAUUGUUCACACUUCCAAAGACUUUUCCAACUCCUUUUUCACACCUUCAAGGCUGUUCACGUUCACCUUUAAUGCUGGUCUCUUUUCUGCCAAGAAUUACAUUUUAAUGAGCUCAUUUAAGCUCAAUUGGCUGAACCUAGCUGCUGCCAUUUCUCCAAGUGCAUUUGCUCUUCUAGAAAUCGUCCCUUGAGCUUCAAAUUCAACUGAAUUUAGCUCCAGCAAUUUAGGUUUUUAUUUCCAAAAUUUUCUAGCAUUUUUCUAGCCUAAUUAAUUACUUAGACAUUAAGUCUUUGUUUUGGCCAUUCGGCUACCUAGCUGAACACUAUAAAUAGUUGUUCAUUUUCAUUGUAAAAGGACUUUUUGACUUUUGAUCAUUUGAAUGAACGUUGUUCAAAGAGUGAGUUUUCUCCUCUCUAAAUUCGUACGAGUUUCGAUCUGACUUAUCUAGCGUGCUAGUGGCGUCUAUCGUUCUCUUUUGAACUUAUCACCUUGCUUUGGUAUGGCGUUCAACCCUUCUACAAUUCCGUAAUCCCACCUUGAACCGAAUAGAAAUCGGGGUGACACUUUUUAGUGUUGAAUCGUUUCUGGUGUUUAAGCUCAUUUAUCCAUUCCACCGUCUAUCCUAGAUUUUACCCAACUAUAAUAUCUUUUUACAAAACCGAGCCUUCAUUUACCAACUUCCAUUUUUUUUCUUAUUUUUAUCCUUAAAUCGAGCCUACUACCCUUAUAAAUUUACCAUCACCUUAGCCAACCUUUAAAACCAUUUGAAAAGCUUCCGCAUCUUUAGCCUUAUCUCAUCCUAUUUUCGAUAACUCAACUAUUCCUCGUCGACGAUCGGGCAAUUACGUGAAACGACUCAAUUAACCCGGGCCGGAUCACAUCAUAUAUAGAGGUAAGAACCAAAGGUAUAAAUAUAUGGUUGAACGCCACACCGGUUUGGUGAUAAGUUCAAUUGAGUUUGGAUGGACGCCACUAGCAAGCUAGAUAAGUCGCUUCGAGACUCGAACGAAAGAAGAGAGGAGGUAACCUCACAAGAAUAAAAAUUCUAUUAAGUUUAAUAAUAGAAAAAGGCUAAAAACACAAUAAGAACAGAAAAUAGAUUAGAUAAUGAUUCAGCACAAGUAGAAAUAAAGAAAGAAUUGACAGUAAGAAAUUAAAAAAUAAGUCCUAAGAAGCCUUGAAAUCUCGAAAGAUCUCACAACUCCCUUCAAACGGCUCUAAUCUCCCCUCCAAAGAAUAUCAAUGGCAAGAAGAAGGUUGAAGAUGGCUCCCACAAUCAAAAGAUUGUUAAAACAACUUCUAAAGAAAACUCAAGAGAGAAAUCUUGGAGAAAACUCAAAGAAAAUUCUGCUCUCAACAACUCUGAAAUUUUAAUAAUAAUGAUAAGUGUUUUACAAGGUGGACAGCCAUGCCUUUAAAUAAGCCUUAUAACUAGUCCUAAUCUAAUUAGAAAACUAAAAUAAAAAAACUCCUAAUUAUUUUAAUAUGGAAAUUUGGUUAAAGGUCAUUUUAUCUGGGACUCUUGGACUGAAUAUUGACAUAAAAAUUUAAACUAAGUAAAUAAAUAAAUAAAUAAAUAAAAAACUUUACAACUUGGGCCACUUUGACAAUUUGGCCUGAUUUUCAACUAAGUAUAGGUAGAUUUCUUGAUUGGGCUGGGAAUUUGCUUAUUGGGCCUUGCCUUCAAGAAUUUGGGCUUGUAAUCCAUCUCCUACCGAAAUUGAAUCGUUGAUGCUCGUAAUGGAGAUCCAAUGCGCUUUGGUUGCAAGAUUUGGUUUCUUGGACCAAGAUUCCCAAUAUUUGAAAUCUUGAUUUUCCCGUUCUUUUGUGUACGCAUCUAAGGCCUUGUUAACAAACUCCUGAAUGGUCCCAUUUAGUUUGGAACACAUUUGUCGGGCCUUUGAUCUCGUAUCAUUCCCCCCUUCCUCAAAAAGAUUCGACCUCGAAUCUGAAAAAUCAAAUGGGGACAAGUCAGCCACAUUAAAAGUGGAACUUACAUUGUACUCACCAGGUAGAUCAAUUUUAUAGGCAUUAUCGUUGAUCCUCUAGAGUACUUGGAAAGGCCCAUCGCCCCUUGGGUCCAACUUGGUCUUUCUUUUUGCAAGAAAUCGUUCUUUCCUCAUAUGGACCCAAACCCAAUCUCCGGGUUCUAGGACAACACGUUUGCGCCCCUUGUUUUCUUUGUUGGUGUUGGCAUCAUUUGUUUUGGCUAUUCGUUGCCUAGCCUUCUCAUGUAAGGAUUUCGCCAACUCAGCUUUUUGUUCACCAUCUAAAUUAACAAUGUGUUCAAGUGGUAAUGGCGCAAGAUCAAGUACAGUUAGUGGGUUAAAACCAUAAACAAGUUCAAAUGGAGAAUAACCAGUUGUAGAAUGAAUAGAUCUAUUAUAUGCAAAUUCAACAAACGGUAGGUAUUCUUCCCAAUUUCUAAUGUUCCUUCCCACAACAGAUCGUAAUAAAGUCCCUAAGAUCCGAUUAACUACUUCGGUUUGGCCAUCAGUUUGGGGGUGACAUGUAGUGGAAUAAAGUAAUUUAGUACCAAGCUUACCCCACAAUACCUUCCAAAAGUGGCUAAGAAAUUUGACAUCUCUGUCAGAAACAAUUGUUUUAGGGAUGCUAUGAAGUCUUACCACCUCUUUAAAGAAUAAGUCUGUCACAUGUGUAGCAUCAUCUAUUUUGUGACAAGAAAUAAAAUGUGCCAUCUUUGAAAACCUGUCAACAACAACAAAUAUAUUAUCUCUUCCUUUCUUAUUUCGAGGCAAACCUAGAAUAAAAUCUAUUGAUAAAUAUACCCAAGGCGAAGUAGGAAUCGGUAAAGGAGUGUAAAGGCCAUGAGGCAUUACCUUAGAUUUUGCUUGUUUGCAUGUAAUGCACUUGGAACAUACCUUUUCGACAUCCUUUUUCAUAUGUGGCCAAUGGAAGUGUUCUUGCAAGAUGUCUAGUGUUUUGGCCACUCCAAAAUGUCCCAUUAAACCCCCACUAUGGGCCUCAUGAAUCAAUAAGUCUCUCAUCAAACCCCCACUAUGUCUAGUGUUUUGGCCACUCCCGUUCUUUUGUGUACGCAUCUAAGGCCUUGUUAACAAACUCCUGAAUGGUCCCAUUUAGUUUGGAACACAUUUGUCGGGCCUUUGAUCUCGUAUCACAUAUUCUGUAACCUUUUACAAUAAACAAGUAAGUUAUUUAUAGGCCAAGACUAAGCUAGCCGAAUGGGAAACUUAAUGGCUAAGAAUUCAGCCAUGAAUAUGCUAGAAAUUUCUAGAAAGAAAUCAUUAAUUUGCUGUAGCUGAAUUCAGCUGAAUGUGCAUGAAUGAAGCAUUAAAAAUUCGGUUCAUGUUUGGAGAUGAUGCAUGGAUUGACCGAAUCAUCAUGUUGCUUCACUUGAUGCAUUCAUGCAUCCUUAACCUUGAAGAAUCUCCAUAAUUCCAUGAAUGUGCAGCCUUUUAAUGAUCCUACAUCUCCCUUGGCUGAAUGAGGCAUUAAUGUGCCUAAAAUACUUGAAUGGUCAUCUUGAAAAUGCAUGAAUCAUGCAUGAAACGUCCCAUGUACUUUUCCCCCAUAAAUAUGAUCCAUGAAUCUUCAAAUACAUGAACUUUCAGCAACUCCCUCUUGCAUGAACGUCCCAAAUGCAUGUGCUACUUUAAAUGCCAUCCAUUGAACCUCAAUUGUGCAUGCACAGUCCCAUACAUUGCACCAAUCCGUUCAUGAACCUGCAGCAAAUAACAUCAGCAAGUUAAAUGCAUUUCAGACACAUUAAAUUAGCAGCAUAUGAACUCAAUAAUUUGCACAUUAAAUUUGGGCAUACAUAUUAACAAAUUCAGACAUAUUUAAAACAUCAUAAUUAGUUAAGUAUUUAAUUUAGAUAUAAUUAAAACACUUAAUUAAUUAUUUGUCCAGAUUUUAACAAAUUAAUUAACUUAAAAUAAACAACUAAUUCAACUAAAGACAAAUUAAAUGGUUUAUUUCAGCAAAAUAAAUACAAACUAAAGAAAGCUAAAAAUAAGCUCAUUGGGUUAAGAUUGAGCUGAAUUGAGCUCGAAUGAGCUGACUUGAGCUCAAGUGAGCUGGAAACGAGCUAAACGGAGCUGAACGAAAAGGAAUUGAACUAAUUCAGCUCGCAUGGAUUUGCAAACAAUGCUUAGGGAGCUAGUCCAAAAGUGUGCCUGAGGCGUGGUCGUAUCAUCCCCUCCCUCUUUAAAGCGAUUUGUCCCCAAAUCGGGCCAUUUGCUCGUGAAAAAUCGUUCAAGAUUUUGAAAGCCACAAAUGGCUUGGAUCGAAAGAAGCUCAUUCGCAUGCCCUCCCUCUUUAGAAGGGUACCGCCUCACAUCGUUACCUAUAAAAGAAUAAAACGAAUUAGUAGCACGAUAAAGGUUAAAAGCACAAAGGAACUUUCUGAAAUUUGAUUCACAAUUCGAACAAAUAAACCGAUACCAGGGUCAAAAAUAGAAAUUGUUCUUACCAUUUUUUUCGAUAGAAACAAACCUAAAUCACAAAACAAUUGAAAGGCAUAAUCUCGAAGUUCAGAAUUACAAAAUUCAAGCCCUUUUAACAAGAACAAAGAAUAAUAAUCUCCGGGGUCAAAAACAAAAUUUUCUCUUGCCAUUCCAAUUUGAUUUGGCAAUUUCAUGACAGACUUCAUAGAAAGAACACUAAGCAACUCAAAAUCAUUAUCAUGCAAAACAUGUUCGGAUCUUUUAGACCACAGUUGAGAACAACCUCCGGAAACAAAAUUUUGAUUUUGACUUAACAAACCAAUAAGAUUCACAUGUCUCAUUUUCAAACUUAAAGACAAAGCAUCAUACAAACAAAGAUUGUUUACACAUUCAUUCAAACAAAAUUUACGAUGCUUGCUUUCUUUCAUGGAUGAUUCAUAAUAACAAACUCCAGGAUUAAACACAUGAUUUUGACUACUCGAUCCAAAUGGCAACGAGAGUGUUAGCAUACUCAAAUUCAAACAAGCAAACCCUUUAAAUUUCGUUCGAAAAUAUUUACGAAAACAUGGAAAUUUCACACCACAAAUUAGAUAAUUCACAUGAUCAACACAACCAAAUAGAUGAUAUGUCGACUUUUGAUCACACAAUUCCAUAUUUUGUUGGUGCUGUUUUAUUCGUUCUUCAUCAAAAAUCUUGCUGAUGCCAUACUCAUCAAUACAUUUCCAUUCCUUUUCAACAGGAUCAGUUAGAAUGAACAAAUUAUACGGACUUUCAUCUCGAGCAUCCAAAACAUGCAUUCCAUUGCAAGUUAAAGAUAAACAACCAAUACCAUCAAGAAAAUAAUAUUUUUCAAAAACAAGAAUCUUCUUAUCAUCAAACAAAACAAAUGGAUCAUCAUCAAUCAAAGAAUGACAAGUAGCCACGUCAAAGUUUAGAUUUUUUUCUAAAGCCCAAAUCAUCAACAAUGUGUCCACCAACAAUCGAAUAAGGCAGAGGUGCUUUAAAAUUUUCAACAUUCAUACCUUGCUUACCUUGAAACAUUGGAAGAAUGAUAUCUUGCAAUUGAUCGUGAUGGAAAUCAGUAGGAAACAAAUGAUGAUUAGAGCAUUGCAAGACUCUUUUCAAGGAAAAAUCAACAUUUCGAUCCAAUGUUAAACAACAAAACAAAUGUUUGAAUGGGCUUUCUCUAAGACCAACAAAAUGGCCGAAUUGAUUGAUAGAAAACAAAUCACAAUCAGAAUGAAGACCAAAAAGAUUCUUACCUGACUUACCUUCGAAAGCUUGAAAAUUAUUCACAACAUCCAACUUACCUUUUUCAAUUAAUUGAAAACGUCGUAUGUCAGAAAGAUAAUGAAGUUGGAACCAGUCCGUGGGUGAAAUUUUGCAAACCUGAAAUGAAGAAGAAUCAAAAGGCAAACUCAAACAGGGGUUAGCAAAAAUUUUCCUUACUUUUUCUUGCUUGCUUUCUUCACUCGUUUCUUUUGCGAACUCUUUUUCUUUUCCACUCGAUUUCUUUUCAAGCUCUCUUUCAAUUUCUUUUUCCACUCUUUCAAUUUCUUUUUCAAUCUCUUUUUGCUUUUUACUCUCUUUUAUUUUUGAAAUCUCAUUUUCAUAUUUUUCUUUUUCAUUUCUUUCAUUUUCAUUUUCUUUAUUCUUUUCUCGCUCAAAAUCUUUUACAACCAAAUUUUUCAAUUUGAUUUGGUCCUCAUGGACUUGUUCCGGUGUGAGCGGUGCUAAGGUGAUUUUCCUUCCUUGAUGCUUGAAGGAAUACCUAUUGGUACGUUCAUCGUGAGUGACCUUGUGAUCCAAUUGCCAUGGUGCUCCCAGCAACAAAUGGCAAGCUUGAAUAGGUACCACAUCACAAAUGACUUCGUCUUGGUAUCUGCCGAUGGAAUAUGCAACACGCACUUGUUGAGUAACUUCAAAUUCACCUUUGUCGUUAAACCACCGUAGCUUAUAAGGUUGGGGAUGCUCGGUAACGAGUAAGCCAAGUUUUUCCACCAUUCUAGUGCUGGCCACAUUUGAACUAAUGUCACCAUUAACAAUGAUGCAAUAAAUUUUAUCGUGGACACGGCAUCGAGUAUGAAACAGAUUCUUAUCUUUGUCGGAUAGUACUUGGAGUUCUCCUUUUUGUAUUCGUCGGAAUUCAGAUCGCAUUAUCCUUUGUAUUUCUCGCUUCCAUACUUGGAAUUCACAUUCAAAAAAUUCUUCGGACAUGUUUCAACAAAAUGUUAGAAAACACAAGAUAAAUUAGAAAGAAAAAUAAUCCUCACCACAAAAUCUCACAAGUUCUCUCGCAAAGAAAAUAAUAAAUGGCACACCACUCGUGUUUCACUCUUAUUUGGCUUUUCUUCUCUCGAAUGAACUCACGCUCUCUUGCCUUUUACCAUUCAACCUCGUCUCACAAAUUCGUAAUUCGUCUCGGUAGACUUAAUUUGCUGCUUGAGGGUCGGUUUCAAAAUGGGUUACAAGGGAUAAUGUCAGGUGUAAGGUAGGCUGAACAAAGAAAAAAAUUGGUUUAAAGUGUGGCGUUGGGUUGGGUAAAUAAUGGUAGGAAGGGAAACUUGAUGAUCGGAGUAAUAAGAGAUGAAAAUAAAACUCGCAAGACUUUUCACUUCUUUUUUUUACUUUUUUUUCUGUUUUUUUUUGCUCACUUCUUUUUUUUCUUUUUUUUUGAAUUUUUUUGAAUUUUAUUUUUUUGUGAUACUCCAAUACAAUAGUAAGGUAAAUACAAGGAAGGAAAAAAAAUUAAAUUACAACUCAAAAUUUUUUUUUGAUUUUUUUUCACGUUCCGAACCUACUUGCGGCCUUGUUACGAACGUCGGUGCUCUUCGUUUUACAAGCUCUGAUACCAAAUGAUGUGAUCCAGCCUGGGUUAAUUGAGUCAUUUCGCAAAGCUGCCCGAUCGUCUACGAGGAGUAGUUGGAGUUGUCAAAAUUGGGUGAUUUAGGCUAAGGGCUGCGGAAGCUUUGAGAGGCGUUUAGAUGAGUGGUUUGGUGUUGAUAAAUUCGGUUUAGAAUAGAAACAAGGUAGGUUAGAAAAAGGUAAUUGAUGGAGAUGGAAAAUAAAACUUAAACGUCAAGAAUGUUCAAUACUAAAAAGUAUUGCCCGAGUCUUAUAUUGCUUAAGGUGAAAUUUGAUGAAGGAUAGAAGCGAACUUUGACCUAAUACCUAUAUAGAGGUAAGAACCAAAGGUAUAAAAAUAUGGUUGAACGCCACACCGGUUUGGUGAUAAGUUCAAUUGAGUUUGGAUGGACGCCACUAGCAAGCUAGAUAAGUCGCUUCGAGACUCGAACGAAAGAAGAGAGGAGGUAACCUCACAAGAAUAAAAAUUCUAUUAAGUUUAAUAAUCAUAUUGAUACGGGGUUGCGCGCGGACCAAGAUCGAGUUACCAAGUCACGAGAAACUCCUACGAAGACCCUAAACAAUCAAAUCCGAAACGAAACAGAAAAUUAAAAGAUUAGAACUUUGAAUUUCUAGAUCUGAAAUAAAAUCCCCAAAUCAGCAAAGAAUCAAAUUGAGAAUAGAAAUAAGUGUUAGGGUUCUUGAAACCCUCAAGGAGAUUGUGAUUCUGCCCAAUUGAACACCAAGAUAGUUUUCCCCAAAUUUCGACAAUCUAAUUUGACCCAAAAAGAGUAUGGAAAAACCCUAGAAAUUGGGGAUUUUUGGGCUGAUUCCUUAAGAUAGAAAAAGGCUGAAAACACAAUAAGAACAGAAAAUAGAUUAGAUAAUGAUUCAGCACAAGUAGAAAUAAAGAAAGAAUUGACAGUAAGAAAUUAAAAAAUAAGUCCUAAGAAGCCUUGAAAUCUCGAAAGAUCUUACAACUCCCUUCAAACGGCUCUAAUCUCCCCUCCAAAGAAUAUCAAUGGCAAGAAGAAGGUUGAAGAUGGCUCCCACAAUCAAAAGAUUGUUAAAACAACUUCUAAAGAAAACUCAAGAGAGAAAUCUUGGAGAAAACUCAAAGAAAAUUCUGCUCUCAACAAAUCUGAAAUUUUAAUAAUAAUGAUAAGUGUUUAACAAGGUGGACAGCCAUGCCUUUAAAUAAGCCUUAUAACUAGUCCUAAUCUAAUUAGAAAACUAAAAUAAAAAAACUCCUAAUUAUUUUAAUAUGGAAAUUCGGUCAAAGGUCAUUUUAUCUGGGACUCUUGGACUGAAUAUUGACAUAAAAAUUUAAACUAAGUAAAUAAAUAAAUAAAUAAAUAAAAAACUUUACAACUUGGGCCACUUUGACAAUUUAGCCUGAUUUUCAACUAAGUAUAGGUAGAUUUCUUGAUUGGGCUGGGAAUUUGCUUAUUGGGCCUUGCCUUCAAGAAUUUGGGCUUGUAAUCCAUCUCCUACCAAAAUUGAAUCGUUGAUGCUCGUAAUGGAGAUCCAAUGCGCUUUGGUUGCAAGAUUUGGUUUCUUGGACCAAGAUUCCCAAUAUUUGAAAUCUUGAUUUUCCCGUUCUUUUGUGUACGCAUCUAAGGCCUUGUUAACAAACUCCUGAAUGGUCCCAUUUAGUUUGAACACAUUUUUCGGGCCUUUGAUCUCGUAUCAUUCCCCCUUCCUCAAAAAGAUUCGACUUCGAAUCUGAAAAAUCAAAUGGGGACAAGUCAGCCACAUUAAAAGUGGAACUUACAUUGCACUCACCAGGUAGAUCAAUUUUAUAGGCAUUAUCGUUGAUCCUCUCGAGUACUUGGAAAGGCCCAUCGCCCCUUGGGUCCAGCUUGGUCUUUCUUUUUGCAGGAAAUCGUUCUUUCCUCAUAUGGACCCAAACCCAAUCUCCGGGUUCUAGGACAACCCGUUUGCGCCCCUUGUUUGCUUUGUUGGUGUUGGCAUCAUUUGUUUUGGCUAUUCGUUGCCUAGCCUUCUCAUGUAAGGAUUUCACCAACUCAGCUUUCUGUUCACCAUCUAAAUUAACAAUGUGUUAAAGUGGUAAUGGCGCAAGAUCAAGUACUGUUAGUGGGUUAAAACCAUAAACAAGUUCAAAUGGAGAAUAACCAGUUGUAGAAUGAAUAGAUCUAUUAUAUGCAAAUUCAACAAACGGUAGGUAUUCUUCCCAAUUUCUAAUGUUCCUUCCCACAACAGAUCGUAAUAAAGUCCCUAAGAUCCGAUUAACUACUUCGGUUUGGCCAUCAGUUUGGGGGUGACAUGUAGUGGAAUAAAGUAAUUUAGUACCAAGCUUACCCCACAACACCUUCCAAAAGUGGCUAAGGAAUUUGACAUCUCUGUCAGAAACAAUUGUUUUAGGGAUGCCAUGAAGUCUUACCACCUCUUUAAAGAAUAAGUCUGCCACAGGUGUAGCCUCAUCUGUUUUGUGACAAGAAAUAAAAUGUGCCAUCUUUGAAAACCUGUCAACAACAACAAAUAUACUAUCUCUUCCUUUCUUAUUUCGAGGCAAACCUAGAAUAAAAUCUAUGGAUAAAUCUACCCAAGGCGAAGUAGGAAUCGGUAAAGGAGUGUAAAGGCCAUGAGGCAUUACCUUAGAUUUUGCUUGUUUGCAUGUAAUGCACUUGGAACAUACCUUUUCGACAUCCUUUUUCAUAUGUGGCCAAUGGAAGUGUUCUUGCAAGAUGUCUAGUGUUUUGGCCACUCCAAAAUGUCCCAUCAAACCCCCACUAUGGGCCUCAUGAAUCAAUAAGUCUCUCAUCAAACCCCCACUAUGUCUAGUGUUUUGGCCACUCCCGUUCUUUUGUGUACGCAUCUAAGGCCUUGUUAACAAACUCCUGAAUGGUCCCAUUUAGUUUGGAACACAUUUGUCGGGCCUUUGAUCUCGUAUCACAUAUUCUGUAACCUUUUACAAUAAACAAGUAAGUUAUUUAUAGGCCAAGACUAAGCUAGCCGAAUGGGCAACUUAAUGGCUAAGAAUUCAGCCAUGAAUAUGCUAGAAAUUUCUAGAAAGAAAUCAUUAAUUUGCUGUAGCUGAAUUCAGCUGAAUGUGCAUGAAUGAAGCAUUAAAAAUUCGGUUCAUGUUUGGAGAUGAUGCAUGGAUUGACCGAAUCAUCAUGUUGCUUCACUUUAUGCAUUCAUGCAUCCUUAACCUUGAAGAAUCUCCAUAAUUCCAUGAAUGUGCAGCCCUUUAAUGAUCCUACAUCUCCCUUGGCUGAAUGAGGCAUUAAUGUGCCUAAAAUACUUGAAUGGUCAUCUUGAAAAUGCAUGAAUCAUGCAUGAAACGUCCCAUGUACUUUCCCCCAUAAAUAUGAUCCAUGAAUCUUCAAAUACAUGAACUUUCAGCAACUCCCUCUUGCAUGAACGUCCCAAAUGCAUGUGCUACUUUAAAUGCCAUCCAUUGAACCUCAAUUGUGCAUGCACAGUCCCAUACAUUGCUCCAAUCCGUUCAUGAACCUGCAGCAAAUAACAUCAGCAAGUUAAAUGCAUUUCAGACACAUUAAAUUAGCAGCAAAUGUACUCAAUAAUUUGCACAUUAAAUUUGGGCAUACAUAUUAACAAAUUCAGACAUAUUUAAAACAUCAUAAUUAGUUAAGUAUUUAAUUUAGAUAUAAUUAAAACACUUAAUUAAUUAUUUGUCCAGAUUUUAACAAAUUAAUUAACUUAAAAUAAACAACUAAUUCAACUAAAGACAAAUUAAAUGGUUUAUUUCAACAAAAUAAAUGCAAACUAAAGAAAGCUAAAAAUAAGCUCAUUGGGUUAAGAUUGAGCUGAAUUGAGCUCGAAUGAGCUGACUUGAGCUCAAGUGAGCUGGAAACGAGCUAAACGGAGCUCAAUGAAAAGGAAUUGAACUAAUUCAGCUCGCAUGGAUUUGCAAACAAUGCUUAGGGAGCUAGUCCAAAAGUGUGCCCGAGGCGUGGUCGUAUCAUCCCCACCCUCUUUAAAGUGAUUUGUCCCCAAAUCGGGCCAUUUGCUCGCGAAAAAUCGUUCAAGAUUUUGAAAGCCACAAAUGGCUUGGAUCGAAAGAAGCUCAUUCGUAUGCCCUCCCUCUUUAGAAGGGUACCGCCUCACAUCGUUACCUAUAAAAGAAUAAAAUGAAUUAGUAGCACGAUGAAGGUUAAAAGCACAAAGGAACUUUCUAAAAUUUGAUUCACAAUUCGAACAAAUAAACCGAUACCAGGGUCAAAAAUAGAAAUUGUUCUUACCAUUUUUUCGAUAGAAACAAACCUAAAUCACAAAACAAUCGAAAGGCAUAAUCUCGAAGGUCAGAAUUACAAAAUCCAAGCCCUUUUAACAAGAACAAAGAAUAAUAAUCUCCGGGGUCAAAAACAAAAUUUUCUCUUACCAUUCCAAUUUGAUUUGGCAAUUUCAUGACAGACUUCAUAGAAAGAACACUAAGCAACUCAAAAUCAUUAUCAUGCAAAACAUGUUCGGAUCUUUUAGACCACAGUUGAGAACAACCUCCGGAAACAAAAUUUUGAUUUUGACUUAACAAACCAACAAGAUUCACAUGUCUCAUUUUCAAACUUAAAGACAAAGCAUCAUACAAACAAAGAUUGUUUACACAUUCAUUCAAACAAAAUUUACGAUGCUUGCUUUCUUUCAUGGAUGAUUCAUAAUAACAAACUCCAGGAUUAAACACAUGAUUUUGACUACUCGAUCCAAAUGGCAACGAGGGUGUUAGCAUACUCAAAUUCAAACAAGCAAACCCUUUAUGUUUCGUUCGAAAAUAUUUACGAAAACAUGGAAAUUUCACACUACAAAUUAGAUAAUUCACAUGAUCAACACAACCAAAUAGAUGAUAUGUCGACUUUUGAUCACACAAUUCCAUAUUUCUUAGGUGCUGUUUUAUUCGUUCUUCAUCAAAAAUCUUGCUGAUGCCAUACUAAUCAAUACAUUUCCAUUCCUUUUCAACAGGAUCAGUUAGAAUGAACAAAUUAUACGGACUUUCAUCUCAAGCAUCCAAAACAUGCAUUCCAUUGCAAGUUAAAGAUAAACAACCAAUACCAUCAAGAAAAUAAUAUUUUUCAAAAACAAGAAUCUUCUUAUCAUCAAACAAAACAAAUGGAUCAUCAUCAAUCAAAGAAUGACAAGUAGCCACGUCAAAGUUUAGAUUUUUUUCUAAAGCCCAAAUCAUCAACAAUGCGUCCACCAACAAUCGAAUAAGGCAGAGGUGCUUUAAAAUUUUCAACAUUCAUACCUUGCUUACCUUGAAACAUUGGAAGAAUGAUAUCUUGCAAUUGAUCGUGAUGGAAAUCAGUAGGAAACAAAUGAUGAUUAGAGCAUUGCAAGACUCUUUUCAAGGAAAAAUCAACAUUUCGAUCCAAGGUUAAACAACAAAACAAAUGUUUGAAUGGGCUUUCUCUAAGACCAACAAAAUGGCCGAAUUGAUCGAUAGAAAACAAAUCACAAUCAGAAUGAAGACCAAAAAGAUUCUUACCUGACUUACCUUCGAAAGUUUGAAAAUUAUUCACAACAUCCAACUUACCUUUUUCAAUUAAUUGAAAACGUCGUAUGUCAGAAAGAUAAUGAAGUUGGAACCAGUCCGUGGGUGAAAUUUUGCAAACCUGAAACGAAGAAGAAUCAAAAGGCAAACUCAAACAGGGGUUAGCAAAAAUUUUCCUUACUUUUUCUUGCUUGCUUUCUUCACUCGUUUCUUUUGCGAACUCUUUUUCUUUUCCACUCGAUUUCUUUUCAAGCUCUCUUUCAAUUUCUUUUUCCACUCUUUCAAUUUCUUUUUCAAUCUCUUUUUGCUUUUCACUCUCUUUUAUUUUUGAAAUCUCAUUUUCAUAUUUUUCUUUUUCAUUUCUUUCAUUUUCAUUUUCUUUAUUCUUUUCUCGCUCAAAAUCUUUUACAACCAAAAUUUUCAAUUUGAUUUGGUCCUCAUGGACUUGUUCUGGUGUGAGCGGUGCUAAGGUGAUUUUCCUUCCUUGAUGCUUGAAGGAAUACCUAUUGGUACGUUUAUCGUGAGUGACCUUGUGAUCCAAUUGCCAUGGUGCUCCCAGCAACAAAUGGCAAGCUUGAAUAGGUACCACAUCACAAACGACUUCGUCUUGGUAUCUACCGAUGGAAUAUGCAACACGCACUUGUUGAGUAACUUCAAAUUCACCUUUGUCGUUAAACCACCGCAGCUUAUAAGGUUGGGGAUGCUCGGUAACGAGUAAGCCAAGUUUUUCCACCAUUCUAGUGCUGGCCACAUUUGAACUAAUGUCACCAUUAACAAUGAUGCAAUAAAUUUUAUCGUGGACACGGCAUCGAGUAGGAAACAGAUUCUUAUGUUGCAGUUCGUUCUCCAAUUGUUGAAGACUUGAACUCAUUUUGAUGUCAACGUUAACAGGUGUCAAAUCUUCUUCAUCUUUGUCGGAUAGUACUUGGAGUUCUCCUUUUUGUAUUCGUCGGAAUUCAGAUCGCAUUAUCCUUUGCAUUUCUCGCUUCCAUACUUGGAAUUCACAUUCAAAAAAUUCUUCGGACAUGUUUCAACAAAAUGUUAGAAAACACAAGAUAAAUUAGAAAGAAAAAUAAUCCUCACCACAAAAUCUCACAAGUUCUCUCGCAAAGAAAAUAAUAAAUGGCACACCACUCGUGUUUCACUCUUAUUUGGCUUUUCUUCUCUCGAAUGAACUCACGCUCUCUUGCCUUUUACCAUUCAACCUCGUCUCACAAAUUCAUAAUUCGUCUCGGUAGACUUAAUUUACUGCUUGAGGGUCGGUUUCAAAAUGGGUUACAAGGGAUAAUGUCAGGUGUAAGGAAGGCUGAACAAAGAAAAAAAUUGGUUUAAAGUGUGGCGUUGGGAUGGGUAAAUAAUGGUAGGAAGGGAAACUUGAUGAUCGGAGUAAUAAGAGAUGAAAAUAAAACUCGCAAGACUUUUCACUUCUUUUUUUACUUUUUUUCUGUUUUUUUUUUGCUCACUUCUUUUUUUUUCUUUUUUUUUUGAAUUUUUUUGAAUUUUAUUUUUUUGUGAUACUCCAAUACAAUAGUAAGGUAAAUACAAGGAAGGAAAAAAAAUUAAAUUACAACUCAAAAUUUUUUUUGAUUUUUUUUCACGUUCCGAACCUACUUGCGGCCUUGUUACGAACGUCGGUGCUCCUCGUUUUACAAGCUCUGAUACCAAAUGAUGUGAUCCAGCCUGGGUUAAUUGAGUCAUUUCGCAAUGUUGCCCGAUCGUCUACGAGGAGUAGUUGGAGUUGUCAAAAUUGGGUGAUUUAGGCUAAGGGCUGCGGAAGCUUUGAGAGGCGUUUAGAUGAGUGGUUUGGUGUUGAUAAAUUCGGUUUAGAAUAGAAACAAGGUAGGUUAGAAAAAGGUAAUUGAUGGAGAUGGAAAAUAAAACUUAAACGUCAAGAAUGUUCAAUACUAAAAAGUAUUGCCCGAGUCUUAUAUUGCUUAAGGUGAAAUUUGAUGAAGGAUAGAAGCGAACAUUGACCCAAUACCUAUAUAGAGGUAAGAACCAAAGGUAUAAAAAUAUGGUUGAACGCCACACCGGUUUGGUGAUAAGUUCAAUUGAGUUUGGAUGGACGCCACUAGCAAGCUAGAUAAGUCGCUUCGAGACUCGAACGAAAGAAGAGAGGAGGUAACCUCACAAGAAUAAAAAUUCAAUUAAGUUUAAUAAUCAUAUUGAUACGGGGUUGCGCGCGGACCAAGAUCGAGUUGCCAAGUCACGAGAAACUCCUACGAAGACCCUAAACAAUCAAAUCCGAAACGAAACAGAAAAUUAAAAGAUUAGAACUUUGAAUUUCUAGAUCUGAAAUAAAAUCCCCAAAUCAGCAAAGAAUCAAAUUGAGAAUAGAAAUAAGUGUUAGGGUUCUUGAAACCCUCAAGGAGAUUGUGAUUCUGCCCAAUUGAACACCAAGAUAGUUUUCCCCAAAUUUCGACAAUCUAAUUUGACCCAAAAAGAGUAUGGAAAAACCCUAGAAAUUGGGGAUUUUUGGGCUGAUUCCUUAAGAUAGAAAAAGGCUGAAAACACAAUAAGAAUAGAAAAUAGAUUAGAUAAUGAUUCAGCACAAGUAGAAAUAAAGAAAGAAUUGACAGUAAGAAAUUAAAAAAUAAGUCCUAAGAAGCCUUGAAAUCUCGAAAGAUCUCACAACUCCCUUCAAACGGCUCUAAUCUCCCCUCCAAAGAAUAUCAAUGGCAAGAAGAAGGUUGAAGAUGGCUCCCACAAUCAAAAGAUUGUUAAAACAACUUCUAAAGAAAACUCAAGAGAGAAAUCUUGGAGAAAACUCAAAGAAAAUUCUGCUCUCAACAAAUCUGAAAUUUUAAUAAUAAUGAUAAGUGUUUAACAAGGUGGACAGCCAUGCCUUUAAAUAAGCCUUAUAACUAGUCCUAAUCUAAUUAGAAAACUAAAAUAAAAAAACUCCUAAUUAUUUUAAUAUGGAAAUUCGGUCAAAGGUCAUUUUUUCUGGGACUCUUGAACUGAAUAUUGACAUAAAAAUUUAAACUAAGUAAAUAAAUAAAUAAAUAAAUAAAAAACUUUACAACUUGGGCCACUUUGACAAUUUGGCCUGAUUUUCAACUAAGUAUAGGUAGAUUUCUUGAUUGGGCUGGGAAUUUGCUUAUUGGGCCUUGCCUUCAAGAAUUUGGGCUUGUAAUCCAUCUCCUACCAAAAUUGAAUCGUUGAUGCUCGUAAUGGAGAUCCAAUGCGCUUUGGUUGCAAGAUUUGGUUUCUUGGACCAAGAUUCCCAAUAUUUGAAAUCUUGAUUUUCCCGUUCUUUUGUGUACGCAUCUAAGGCCUUGUUAACAAACUCCUGAAUGGUCCCAUUUAGUUUAGAACACAUUUUUCGGGCCUUUGAUCUCGUAUCAUUCCCCCCUUCCUCAAAAAGAUUCGACUUCGAAUCUGAAAAAUCAAAUGGGGACAAGUCAGCCACAUUAAAAGUGGAACUUACAUUGCACUCACCAGGUAGAUCAAUUUUAUAGGCAUUAUCGUUGAUCCUCUCGAGUACUUGGAAAGGCUCAUAGCCCCUUGGGUCCAACUUGGUCUUUCUUUUUGUAGGAAAUCGUUCUUUCCUCAUAUGGACCCAAACCCAAUCUCCGGGUUCUAGGACAACCCGUUUGCGCCCCUUGUUUGCUUUGUUGGUGUUGGCAUCAUUUGUUUUGGCUAUUCGUUGCCUAGCCUUCUCAUGUAAGGAUUUCACCAACUCAGCUUUCUGUUCACCAUCUAAAUUAACAAUGUGUUCAAGUGGUAGAAUGAAUAGAUCUAUUAUAUGCAAAUUCAAAAAACGGUAGGUAUUCUUCCCAAUUUCUAAUGUUCCUUCCCACAACAGAUCGUAAUAAAGUCCCUAAGAUCCGAUUAACUACUUCGGUUUGGCCAUCAGUUUGGGGGUGACAUGUAGUGGAAUAAAGUAAUUUAGUACCAAGCUUACCCCACAAUACCUUCCAAAAGUGGCUAAGGAAUUUGACAUCUCUGUCAGAAACAAUUGUUUUAGGGAUGCCAUGAAGUCUUACCACCUCUUUAAAGAAUAAGUCUGCCACAUGUGUAGCCUCAUCUGUUUUGUGACAAGAAAUAAAAUGUGCCAUCUUUGAAAACCUGUCAACAACAACAAAUAUACUAUCUCUUCCUUUCUUAUUUCGAGGCAAACCUAGAAUAAAAUCUAUGGAUAAAUCUACCCAAGGCGAAGUAGGAAUCGGUAAAGGAGUGUAAAGGCCAUGAGGCAUUACCUUAGAUUUUGCUUGUUUGCAUGUAAUGCACUUGGAACAUACCUUUUCGACAUCCUUUUUCAUAUGUGGCCAAUGGAAGUGUUCUUGCAAGAUGUCUAGUGUUUUGGCCACUCCAAAAUGUCCCAUCAAACCCCCACUAUGGGCCUCAUGAAUCAAUAAGUCUCUCAUCAAACCCCCACUAUGUCUAGUGUUUUGGCCACUCCCGUUCUUUUGUGUACGCAUCUAAGGCCUUGUUAACAAACUCCUGAAUGGUCCCAUUUAGUUUGGAACACAUUUGUCGGGCCUUUGAUCUCGUAUCACAUAUUCUGUAACCUUUUACAAUAAACAAGUAAGUUAUUUAUAGGCCAAGACUAAGCUAGCCGAAUGGGCAACUUAAUGGCUAAGAAUUCAGCCAUGAAUAUGCUAGAAAUUUCUAGAAAGAAAUCAUUAAUUUGCUGUAGCUGAAUUCAGCUGAAUGUGCAUGAAUGAAGCAUUAAAAAUUCGGUUCAUGUUUGGAGAUGAUGCAUGGAUUGACCGAAUCAUCAUGUUGCUUCACUUGAUGCAUUCAUGCAUCCUUAACCUUGAAGAAUCUCCAUAAUUCCAUGAAUGUGCAGCCCUUUAACGAUCCUACAUCUCCCUUGGCUGAAUGAGGCAUUAAUGUGCCUAAAAUACUUGAAUGGUCAUCUUGAAAAUGCAUGAAUCAUGCAUGAAACGUCCCAUGUACUUUCCCCCAUAAAUAUGAUCCAUGAAUCUUCAAAUACAUGAACUUUCAGCAACUCCCUCUUGCAUGAACGUCCCAAAUGCAUGUGCUACUUUAAAUGCCAUCCAUUGAACCUCAAUUGUGCAUGCACACUCCCAUACAUUGCACCAAUCCGUUCAUGAACCUGUAGCAAAUAACAUCAGCAAGUUAAAUGCAUUUCAGACACAUUAAAUUAGCAGCAAAUGUACUCAAUAAUUUGCACAUUAAAUUUGGGCAUACAUAUUAACAAAUUCAGACAUAUUUAAAACAUCAUAAUUAGUUAAGUAUUUAAUUUAGAUAUAAUUAAAACACUUAAUUAAUUAUUUGUCCAGAUUUUAACAAAUUAAUUAACUUAAAAUAAACAACUAAUUCAACUAAAGACAAAUUAAAUGGUUUAUUUCAACAAAAUAAAUGCAAACUAAAGAAAGCUAAAAAUAAGCUCAUUGGGUUAAGAUUGAGCUGAAUUGAGCUCGAAUGAGCUGACUUGAGCUCAAGUGAGCUGGAAACGAGCUAAACGGAACUCAACGAAAAGGAAUUGAACUAAUUCAGCUCGCAUGGAUUUGCAAACAAUGCUUAGGGAGCUAGUCCAAAAGUGUGCCCGAGGCGUGGUCGUAUCAUCCCCACCCUCUUUAAAGUGAUUUGUCCCCAAAUCGGGCCAUUUGCUCGCGAAAAAUCGUUCAAGAUUUUGAAAGCCACAAAUGGCUUGGAUCGAAAGAAGCUCAUUCGCAUGCCCUCCCUCUUUAGAAGGGUACCGCCUCACAUCGUUACCUAUAAAAGAAUAAAACGAAUUAGUAGCACGAUGAAGGUUAAAAGCACAAAGGAACUUUCUAAAAUUUGAUUCACAAUUCGAACAAAUAAACCGAUACCAGGGUCAAAAAUAGAAAUUGUUCUUACCAUUUUUCGAUAGAAACAAACCUAAAUCACAAAACAAUCGAAAGGCAUAAUCUCGAAGGUCAGAAUUACAAAAUCCAAGCCCUUUUAACAAGAACAAAGAAUAAUAAUCUCCGGGGUCAAAAACAAAAUUUUCUCUUACCAUUCCAAUUUGAUUUGGCAAUUUCAUGACAGACUUCAUAGAAAGAACACUAAGCAACUCAAAAUCAUUAUCAUGCAAAACAUGUUCGGAUCUUUUAGACCACAGUUGAGAACAACCUCUGGAAACAAAAUUUUGAUUUUGACUUAACAAACCAACAAGAUUCACAUGUCUCAUUUUCAAACUUAAAGACAAAGCAUCAUACAAACAAAGAUUGUUUACACAUUCAUUCAAACAAAAUUUACGAUGCUUGCUUUCUUUCAUGGAUGAUUCAUAAUAACAAACUCCAGGAUUAAACACAUGAUUUUGACUACUCGAUCCAAAUGGCAACGAGGGUGUUAGCAUACUCAAAUUCAAACAAGCAAACCCUUUAAGUUUCAUUCGAAAAUAUUUACGAAAACAUGGAAAUUUCACACUACAAAUUAGAUAAUUCACAUGAUCAACACAACCAAAUAGAUGAUAUGUCGACUUUUGAUCACACAAUUCCAUAUUUCUUUGGUGCUGUUUUAUUCGUUCUUCAUCAAAAAUCUUGCUGAUGCCAUACUAAUCAAUACAUUUCCAUUCCUUUUCAACAGGAUCAGUUAGAAUGAACAAAUUAUACGGACUUUCAUCUCAAGCAUCCAAAACAUGCAUUCCAUUGCAAGUUAAAGAUAAACAACCAAUACCAUCAAGAAAAUAAUAUUUUUCAAAAACAAGAAUCUUCUUAUCAUCAAACAAAACAAAUGGAUCAUCAUCAAUCAAAGAAUGACAAGUAGCCACGUCAAAGUUUAGAUUUUUUUCUAAAGCCCAAAUCAUCAACAAUGUGUCCACCAACAAUCGAAUAAGGCAGAGGUGCUUUAAAAUUUUCAACAUUCAUACCUUGCUUACCUUGAAACAUUGGAAGAAUGAUAUCUUGCAAUUGAUCGUGAUGGAAAUCAGUAGGAAACAAAUGAUGAUUAGAGCAUUGCAAGACUCUUUUCAAGGAAAAAUCAACAUUUCGAUCCAAGGUUAAACAACAAAACAAAUGUUUGAAUGGGCUUUCUCUAAGACCAACAAAAUGGCCGAAUUGAUCGAUAGAAAACAAAUCACAAUCAGAAUGAAGACCAAAAAGAUUCUUACCUGACUUACCUUCGAAAGUUUGAAAAUUAUUCACAACAUCCAACUUACCUUUUUCAAUUAAUUGAAAAUGUCGUAUGUCAGAAAGAUAAUGAAGUUGGAACCAUUCCGUGGGUGAAAUUUUGCAAACCUGAAACGAAGAAGAAUCAAAAGGCAAACUCAAACAGGGGUUAGCAAAAAUUUUCCUUACUUUUUCUUACUUGCUUUCUUCACUCGUUUCUUUUGCAAACUCUUUUUCUUUUCCACUCGAUUUCUUUUCAAGCUCUCUUUCAAUUUCUUUUUCCACUCUUUCAAUUUCUUUUUCAAUCUCUUUUUGCUUUUCACUCUCUUUUAUUUUUGAAAUCUCAUUUUCAUAUUUUUCUUUUUCAUUUCUUUCAUUUUCAUUUUCUUUAUUCUUUUCUCGCUCAAAAUCUUUUACAACCAAAUUUUUCAAUUUGAUUUGGUCCUCAUGGACUUGUUCCGGUGUGAGCGGUGCUAAGGUGAUUUUCCUUCCUUGAUGCUUGAAGGAAUACCUAUUGGUACGUUUAUCGUGAGUGACCUUGUGAUCCAAUUGCCAUGGUGCUCCCAGCAACAAAUGGCAAGCUUGAAUAGGUACCACAUCACAAACGACUUCGUCUUGGUAUCUACCGAUGGAAUAUGCAACACGCACUUGUUGAGUAACUUCAAAUUCACCUUUGUCGUUAAACCACCGCAGCUUAUAAGGUUGGGGAUGCUCGGUAACGAGUAAGCCAAGUUUUUCCACCAUUCUAGUGCUGGCCACAUUUGAACUAAUGUCACCAUUAACAAUGAUGCAAUAAAUUUUAUCGUGGACACGGCAUCGAGUAUGAAACAGAUUCUUAUGUUGCAGUUCGUUCUCCAAUUGUUGAAGACUUGAACUCAUUUUGAUGUCAACGUUAACAGGUGUCAAAUCUUCUUUAUCUUUGUCGGAUAGUACUUGGAGUUCUCCUUUUUGUAUUCGUCGGAAUUCAGAUCGCAUUAUCCUUUGUAUUUCUCGCUUCCAUACUUGGAAUUCACAUUCAAAAAAUUCUUCGGACAUGUUUCAACAAAAUGUUAGAAAACACAAGAUAAAUUAGAAAGAAAAAUAAUCCUCACCACAAAAUCUCACAAGUUCUCUCGCAAAGAAAAUAAUAAAUGGCACACCACUCGUGUUUCACUCUUAUUUGGCUUUUCUUCUCUCGAAUGAACUCACGCUCUCUUGCCUUUUACCAUUCAACCUCGUCUCACAAAUUCGUAAUUCGUCUCGGUAGACUUAAUUUGCUGCUUGAGGGUCGGUUUCAAAAUCGGUUACAAGGGAUAAUGUCAGGUGUAAGGUAGGCUGAACAAAGAAAAAAAUUGGUUUAAAGUGUGGCGUUGGGAUGGGUAAAUAAUGGUAGGAAGGGAAACUUGAUGAUCGGAGUAAUAAGAGAUGAAAAUAAAACUCACAAGACUUUUCACUUCUUUUUUUUACUUUUUUUUCUGUUUUUUUCUCACUUCUUUUUUUUCCUUUUUUUUUAAUUUUGAUUUUUUUGUGAUACUCCAAUACAAUAGUAAGGUAAAUACAAGGAAGGAAAAAAAAUUAAAUUACAACUCGAAAUUUUUUUUGAUUUUUUUUCACGUUCUGAACCUACUUGCGGCCUUGUUACGAACGUUGGUGCUCCUCGUUUUGCAAGCUCUGAUACCAAAUGAUGUGAUCCGGCCUAGGUUAAUCUAGUUGUUUUGCAAAGUUGCCCGAUCGUCUACGAGGAGUAGUUGGAGUUGUCAAAAUUGGGUGAUUUAGGCUAAGGGUUGCGGAAGCUUUGAGAGGGGUUUAGAUGAGUGGUUUGGUGUUGAUAAAUUCGGUUUAGAAUAGAAACAAGGUAGGUUAGAGAAAGGUAAUCGAUGGAGAUGGAAAAUAAAACUUAAACGUCAAGAAUGUUCAAUACUAAAAAGUAUUGCCCGAGUCUUAUAUUGCUUAAGGUGAAAUUUGAUGAAGGAUAGAAGCGAACCUUGACCCAAUACCUAUAUAGAGGUAAGAACCAAAGGUAUAAAAAUAUGGUUGAACGCCACACCGGUUUGGUGAUAAGUUCAAUUGAGUCUGGAUGGAUGCCACUAGCAAGCUAGAUAAGUCGCUUCGAGACUCGAACGAAAGAAGAGAGGAGGUAACCUCACAAGAACAAAAGUUCUAUUAAGUUUAAUAAUCAAAUUCGGUAACCUUUUACAAUAAACAAGUAAGCUAUUUAUAGGCCAAGACUAAGCUAGCCGAAUGGGCAACUUAAUGGCUAAGAAUUCAGCCAUGAAUAUGCUAGAAAUUUCUAGAAAGUAAUCAUUAAUUUGCUGUAGCUGAAUUCAGCUGAAUGUGCAUGAAUGAAGCAUUAAAAAUUUGGUUCAUGUUUGGAGAUGAUGCAUGGAUUGACCGAAUCAUCAUGUUGCUUCACUUGAUGCAUUCAUGCAUCCUUAACCUUGAAGAAUCUCCAUAAUUCCAUGAAUGUGCAGCCCUUUAAUGAUCCUACAUCUCCCUGUCUAAAUGAGGCAUUAAUGUGCCUAAAAUACUUGAAUGGUCAUCUUGAAAAUACAUGAAUCAUGCAUGAAACGUCCCAUGUACUUUCCCCCAUAAAUAUGAUCCAUGAAUCUUCAAAUACAUGAACUUUCAGCAACUCCCUCUUGCAUGAACGUCCCAAAUGCAUGUGCUACUUUAAAUGCCAUCCAUUGAACCUCAAUUGUGCAUGCACACACCCAUACAUUGCACCAAUCUGUUCAUGAACCUGCAGCAAAUAACAUCAGCAAGUUAAAUGCAUUUCAGACACAUUAAAUUAGCAGCAUAUGAACUCAAUAAUUUGCACAUUAAAUUCGGCCAUACAUAUUAACAAAUUCAGACAUAUUUAAAACAUCAUAAUUAGUUAAGUAUUUAAUUUAGAUAUAAUUAAAACACUUAAUUAAUUAUUUGUCCAGAUUUUAACAAAUUAAUUAACUUAAAAUAAACAACUAAUUCAACUAAAGACAAAUUAAAUGGUUUAUUUCAGCAAAAUAAAUGCAAACUAAAGAAAGCUAAAAAUAAGCUCAUUAGGUUAAGAUUAAGCUGAAUUGAGCUCAAAUAAGCUGACUUGAGCUCAAGUGAGAUGGAAACGAGCUAAACGAGAAGGAAUUGAACUAAUUCAACUCGCAUGGAUUUGCAAACAAUGCUUAGGGAGCUGUUCCAAAAGUGUGCCCGAGGCGUGGUCGUAUCACCUUAUUAUUGGCAGCAAAGAUCGUUCAAGAUCCCUAAAAUUCAUUGUUCUUGCCGAUUUCUUCUUUUCAAAUCUGAUUGAUUCGGCUGCUGGAAUUUUUAGGGAAAAUUAGUUGCUGUUUCUAUUUGGGCAAAUCAUCAUCUCCUUGGGUUUUAAGAACCAUUUUAAUUCCUGAAUUUUUUCUUUUCUUUUUGCCGACCCAAAUCCCUAAUUUUCUAUUUAAAAUCUAAUUGUUUUCUUUGAUUUGAAUUCUAAUUCGUUUUCUUUCGUAAUUGAUAGGAUCGGCUGUUGGGGAAUUAUUUCCUAAGUUCAAAUCGAUUCUUGGUUUCCAAGAAUAGCCGUCUCUAAGGGUGUUUUUGAUUCUUGCUGUUCAUUGAUAGUUUUUAUUUCAGAUCUAAUGAAUCUAACUUCAAUUCUGUGUUUUGUUUCAGAUUUGAUUGUCUAGAGCCUCGUAGGAAUUUUCUCAUGACUUGACAACUCAAUCUUGGUCUGCGCAUAACCCCCUAUCAGUCUGCACACAACCCUCUAUCAUUUGGUAUCAGAUCUUGAGCAUCUUGGGUGAUUUCUAAACUGAUCUCCUUUUAAAAACAUUAAACAACAGUUUUUACCCAGAAAAUUUUUUGGAAAAAAUAUCAUUUGAGUGGGUAAACAUUUUCCGAUUGGUCUAAAAUUUUAUAUCCAUAUUUGUGGCACAAUUAUAGAAUACUAAAAAAUAUUUCCCGUGAAAAAAAUCAGUAGAAAAAGUCAAAAAAAAUUGAAAAAGAUGAAAUUAAGAAAAAAUUAAAAAAUAUUCAGCGGGUUGAUUUUAGUACCGAAACUUUCCAGAUCAAAUAUAAAAUAUUUAAGGACAUUCCAUUUUAAAUUUCGUGAUUUUUGGAGAUCAGGAACACCCUGAACAAAGUUGUCAAGUGACUUUGCAGUUUUUCGGGAUUUCGGGUUUCAACAAUUUUUAUUAAUUCUUAGCUGUAGGUUUUCAUUUGUUUUUCCUUUAUUCUUCCUUUAUAAUAUCUAACACCUUCUUGUUUCUUGUGUUAGUAGGAUUUAAAAGUGUGCACAAUUCUUCCUCGGUGCGACACAAAUCAGUUGGUGUCUCGUCACUUUUUGGACUCAUAGUGCAAUUAGGAUUCCUUGGUAGUUACGGUUUAUACACUUUCCAAAUUGAUUGAUAUAGACUCUACUAAAGAACUCACAAGACUGAAUUCUACCUCUUUGAGAAUUUGGUUUUCCUUUUGAGUGAUUAACGGUGAGGUUUGUUAAUUUUUUUGAGUGUUGAGUGUUUGUUUUGUAGGUUUUAAAAUAAGAUGUCUAGAAUUGGUCAAGACGAUGAUGAGAAUAAUGACCAUAAUGAGGUCCUUGUAGUCCGCCCCACCCUUAGCAUCCAAAUGAGAGACGAUGUUGAUAAUCAAAGGAUCAAUAUUUUCCAUUCUAGGUGUUUUAUAAAAGGUAACUUAUGUUCACUUAUUAUUGAUAGUGGGAGCUGUUCGAAUGUAGUGAGCAGUUAUUUGGUGGAUUCUUUAAAGUUACCUUGUACCGAGCACCCUAAGCUGUAUCACCUUCAGUGGCUUAAUGAAUUCUUAGAAGUUAAAGUUACAAAACAGGCCUUGAUCACUUUUAUGCUCGGAAAUUACGAUGAUGAGGUAUGGUGUGAUGUGGUCCCAAUGCAUGCGACACACUUGCUCCUUGGACGACCUUGGCAAUUUGAUCGUGAUGUUACACACCAAGGAAAGCUCAAUAGAUACUCUCUUGUGUUUAAAGGCCAAAAAUUCACUUUUGCUCCUUUAAAUCCCAAUGAUGUAUAUAAAGUUCAAUUAAAAUCAUGAAAUUCUGUGAGGGGUGAAGGAGAAAGGACAAAUAAAAAAGACAGAGAGAAAAGAGGCUAGUAGUGAAAAAAGUCAAAAUUUAAAUGGCCCAAAGGUGAGUGAAUCCGCAAGUGGUAAAACUAGAGGAAAAAAUUUAAUUGCAACAAAAAAAUAUGUGUGGAGAGCCCUACUCAAUAAAUAGCCUUGUAUCCUUGUGAGGUUUAGGCAAAACUAUUUAUCUCUAUCUAACAUUAAUGAAAAUUUGCCUAGUGUGUUUCAAUGUCUUUUGCAGGAUUACGAGGAUGUUUUUAGUGAGGCCCCUAAAGGUUUACCACCUUUACGUGGGAUAGAACACUUCCGUUGGACACAUAUGAAGAAGGAUGUCGAAAAGGUUCCCGAAAGACCGAAAGAUAACUUUCAACUUCAAUACCUUUCCGAUGAAAGACGCUUUCAUACAAUCAACAUAGGCAAAGAUAAAAUCACACUACAUGAGCCCAAAGGUAAGCGAGGUAAGGAAAUUUUAGCAACCGAGUCCCAUGCAGAUUUGAAAAUUAUUGAUAAAACUUUUGGUGACCUAGUUCUUAAAAGAUCCCCUCAUUUUGAUUUGAUUAAUUGUUAUUCUUUGAUUAAGGUUGAUAAAGUCAUUACGAAAGGAAGCGUGAGUUGUUAUUCUCUUGAUUUGCCUUGUGUAAAAUACGCGAAUUUGUGCAAAUCUGUUUUGGUGAAUAAAAAAAGUUUUGAAUGUAUGUUGGUAUGUAUGCGAAAAUCCUCAUGGUUUAACUUGAUUGGUUUAAUGAAAUCUUUGUUACACUUCGGCAUGACUAAUCAAAAUCAAGUUUUUAAACCCGGAAUCUGUUUUGGUAUAUUUUGAUGGAAAAUAAAGCAUCAUCUAUUGUGUGCAAAUACUUUCUAUUGUUUUGAUACUUGAUUUUUGAAUAAGGUAACAAAAUUUGCCAAAUUUGUCUUCGAUUUAUAUUUGUGCCUUAAACAGUUUCUGUGAUUAUACAUGAAGUUUAAGUUCCAUUUGAUAAAGGUUAACUCAACAACGGAGCUUCGACUACACUAUGCCCCCGAUGAGCGAAGGUUUGUAUUAUAUGGAAAAGGUAAAAUCGACCCUUAUUCUUCUGCUUAUAAAGGUAAGAUGCUUGAAACUUUUGAAACACCUUUGUACUCCUCGGAUAUUGACAAAGAUCGAGUUGAUGAUUUAAUUUUUGUAAAACACUUAGAUCGAAACGUGCUUGACUGUCCUAUUUUAUUUAUUGAUGAUCUAUUUAUUUUGAUGGUUGAUAAAAAGAUUAUUGUUUUUGAUCAUUUUUAUGAUGCAUGUGUGAGUGACUCUAUAGUCCGUCGAUUAAUGCAUGGUAUGAUUGUGCAACUUUGUGAACCGGGUGAACCUUUUCAAAUACCUACUUGUGACGAUUACGUUUACCAUUUGAUUUAUUACUCACGAUUUAUUCAUGGUUUGUGGAAACAAUUUGAGAUGAUUGAAUGCCUUAAAACAUGUCCAUCUUUGUUUCGAAUAUUUGACGAGGCAUUGGCGAGUAAAUUAGCUUAUUUGCAUGGUUAUCUGAAUCUUUCCAUUCGCAUGGGUUAUACUUGUUUUGUUAUGCUUAUGAUUGGACUACAAGUUUGUUUGCGUUGCUAUUUACUAACUCAUGGCUAUUCUUUUCAGUGGACUCAAUUGCCAUUAGUCCCGUUCGAUCGAGGAAAGUCGAGUCCAUUUGAUUUUUCAGAUUCGAGGACGAAUCUUUUUGAGGAAGGGGGGAAUGAUACGAGCCACAAAGGCCCAAUUCAAGCUCAAGGACGUGAUGGGCUAAAAUUACCACAAGGCCAAAUAACGGGGUCAAAGGCCAGACAAAUGCGUUCAAAACUAAAUGGAACCAUUCAAGAAUUUAUUAGCAAGGUCUUAGAUGCGUACACGAAGGAAAAAUAAAAUCAAGAUUCACUUUCUUAUUUUCAAGAAAAUCAAGAAACCGAAUCUUGGUCCAAUUUUGCUGUUUGGAGUGAUUUCAAGAAUCAAGAAAAUUAAGAUUUCAAAUCUUUGAAGUCUUGGUCCAAGAAACCAAAUCUUGCAGCUAAGGCGCAUUGGAUUUCCGUUACGAGCAUCAACAAACCAAUUUUGGUAGGAAAUGGACUACAAGCCCAAGUUCUUGAAGGCAAGGCCCAAUAAGAUGUUCCAAGCCCAAUCCAGAAAGUUAAAUGAGACUUAGUUGAAAAUCAGGCCAAAUUGUCAAAGUGGCCCAAUUUGUAAAAUUUUAAUUCUUUAAAUACUUAUUUUCAAUUUUAGACUUUAAAAACUUAGUUUCAAUUUUAGACUUUAUAAAUUAAUUACUAUGUAAAUAUUCAGUCCAAGAGGCCCAAUUAAAAGCCCUUGGCCGAAUUUCCCUUUAAAUCAAAUAAUUAGGAGUUUUUUUAGUUUUAGUUUUCUAAUAGGGUUAGGAAAAUAAUAGAGGCCUAUAUAUAUGUAAGGCUUGGCCGGCCAUACACAUUAUACUUUGAAGAAUACAUUGAAAUCAAAUUUUUUUUGUUGAGUGAAAAUUCUCUUUGAGUUCUCCAAGAAUUUUCUCUUGAGUUUCCUUUAGAAGGAGUUUUAACAAUAUUUUUGAUUGUGGGAGCCAUCUUCAGCCUUCUUCUUGCCAUUGUUCUUCAUUGGAGGAAAGAUUAGAGCCGUUUGAAGGGAGUUGUGAAAUCUUUCUCGAUUUCAAGGCUUCUUAGGACUUUAUCUUUAUUUUUCUUGCUGUUCAAUCUUUUUAAUUCUCUGCUUGUGUCAAUUUCAUUAUCUAACUUGUUUAAACUCUCUUGUUGCUUCUCCAGCCCUGUUCAACCUUCAAGAAUCUGUUCGGCAUUAACCUUGGACAACAAGAAACGUUUUGAUUUCACAAACCCCUCUUUCUUGCCGUCCAAACCCUAGAUCUAAUUCAAUUUGAUUUUGUGAUGUGCUGAGUUUGUUUUGUUUCUGUUUUGUGUUUACUUGACAGAUUCGGCUGAUUGGAGUCCUUCUUGAAGCUUAAUUUCGCGUUCUUGGUUUCCAAGAUUCUCUAUUAAUAAGUGUUUCUGAUACGGGGUUGCGUGCGGACCAAGAUCGAGUUGCCAAGUCACGAGAAACUCCUACGAAAACCCUAAACAAUUAGAUCUGAAACGAAACAGAAAAUUAAAAGAUUAGAUUUUUGAAUUUUCAGAUCUGAAAUAAAAUCCCCAAAACAGUAAAGAAUCAAAUAGAGAAUAGAAAUAAGUGUUAGGGUUCUUGAAACCCUCAAGGAGAUUGUGAUUCUGCCCAAUUGAACACCAAGAUAGUUUUCCCCAAAUUUCGACAAUCUAAUUUCACCCAAAAAGAGUAUAGAAAAACCCUAGAAAUUGGGGAUUUUUGGGCUGAUUCCUUAAGAUAGAAAAAGGCUGAAAACACAAUAAGAACAGAAAAUAGAUUAGAUAAUGAUUCAGCACAAGUAGAAAUAAAGAAAUAAAACGAAACAGCAAGAAAUAAAGAAAGUCCUAAAGAUCCUUGAAAUCCCGAAAGAUUUCACAAAUCCCUUCAAACGGCUCUAAUCUCCCCUCCAAAGAAUAUCAAUGGCAAGAAGAAGGUUGAAGAUGGCUCCCACAAUCAAAAGAUUGUUAAAACAACUUCUAAAGAAAACUCAAGAGAGAAAUCUUGGAGAAAACUCAAAGAAAAUUCUGCUCUCAACAAAUCUGAAAAUUUUAAUAAUAAUGAUAAGUGUUUUACAAGGUGGACAGCCAUGCCUGUAAAUAGGCCUUAUAACUAGUCCUAAUCUAAUUAGAAAACUAAAAUAAAAAAACUCGUAAUUAUUUUAAUAUGGAAAUUCGGUCAAAGGUCAUUUUAUCUGGGACUCUUGGACUGAAUAUUGACAUAAAAAUUUAAACUAAGUAAAUAAAUAAAUAAAUAAAUAAAAAUAAAAAUAAAACUUUACAACUUGGGCCACUUUGACAAUUUGGCCUGAUUUUCAACUAAGUAUGGAUGGAUUUCUUGAUUGGGCUGGGAAUUUGCUUAUUGGGCCUCGCCUUCAAGAAUUUGGGCUUUUGUGACUCAUAUCAUUCCCCCCUUCCUCAAAAAGAUUCAUCCUCGAAUCUGAAAUAUCAAAUGAACUCGACUUUCCUCUAUCGAACGGGACUAAUGGCAAUUGAGUCCACUGAAAAGAAUAGCCAUGAGAUAGUAAAUAGCAACGAAAACAAGCUUGUAGUCCAAUCAUAAGCAUAACAGAACAGGUAUAACGCAUGUGAAUGGACAGAUUCAGAUUACCAUGCAAACAAUCUAAUUUACUCACCACUGCCUCGUCAAAUAUUUGAAACAAAGAUGGACAUGUUUUAAGGCAUUCAGUCGUCUCACAUUGUUCCCACAAACCAUGAAUAAAUUGCGAGUAAUAAAUCAAAUGGUAAACAUAAUCGUCACAAGUAGGUAUUUGAAAAGAUUCACAUGGUUCACAGAGUUGCAUAAUCAUACCAUGCAUUAAUCGACGGUCUAUAGAUUCACUCACACAUGCAUUAUCAAAAACAAGAAUCUUUUUAUCAACCAUCAAAACAGAUAGAAUAAAUAAAAUAGGACAGUCAAGCACGUUUCGAUCUAAGUGUUCAUCAACACGAUCUUUAUCACUAUCCGAGGAGUACAAAAGUGUUUCAAAGGUUUCAAGCAUCUUACCUCGAUAAGCAGAAGAAUAAGGGUCGAUUUUACCUUUUUCAUUUAAAACAAACCUUCGCUCAUCGGGGGCAUAGUGUAGUCGAAUCUCCGUUGUUGAGUUAACCUUUGUCAAAUGGAACUCAAACUUCAUGUACAACCACAUAAACUGUUUAAGGCACGAAUAUAAAUUGAAAACAAAUUUGGAAAAUUUCGUUACCUUAUUCUCCAAAACAGAUUUGGACAAAUUCGAGGAUUUUACACAAGGUAAAUCAAGAGAAUAACAAAUCACGCUUCUUUUCGUAAUGACUUUAUCAACCACAAUCGAAGAGUAACAAUUAAUCAGAUCAAAAUGAGGGGAUCUUUUAAGAACUAAGUCACCAAAAGUUUUAUCAAUAAUUUUCAAAUCUGCACUGGACUCAGUUUCUAAAAUUUCCUUACCUCGCUUACCUUCGGGAUCAUGUAAUGUGAUUUCAUCUUUGCCUAAGUUGAUCAUAUGAAAGCGUCUUUCAUUUGAGAGGUAUUGAAGUUGAAAGUUAUCUUUCGAUCUUUCAGGAACCUGAAAAGUAGCAACACAAGAAAAAUUCAUAUCUUGGUUAGUGGAAACAUUCCUCACUAGCCUUUCCUCGUCUUUUUCUUUUGUUUUUUUUUCUAACUCAUUUUCUCUUCUUUCUUCAACUUCUUUUUCAAAUUUCUUUUCUGUUUCACAUUCCUUUUCACUCUCAAUCUCUUUUUGCUCUUUUUCAUUCUUUUUUUCUUUUUCCUCACUUGUUUUAACAGAAUUUCUCAGUUUGAUUUGGUCCUCAUGGACUUGUUCCGGAGUGAGCGGCACUAAGGUAAGUUUCUUUCCUUGAUGCUUGAAAGAAUACCUAUUGGUACGACCAUCGUGAGUGACUUUUCGAUCCAGUUGCCAUGGUUCUCCUAGCAAUAAAUGGCAGGCUUGAAUAGGUACUACGUCGCACACGACUUCGUCUUGAUAUUUAUCGAUAGAAAAGGCGAUGCGCACUUGUUGAGUGACCUUAAAUUGGCUUUCGUUGCUAAGCCCUUGUAGUUGAUAAGGUCGUGGAUGCUUGGUAGUGGUUAAGCAAAGCUUUUCCACCAUCGUCGUGCUGGCUACGUUCGAGCAACUUUCACCAUCAAUAAUAACUCUACAAAGCUUACCUUGUACAUGGCAGCGAGUAUGAAAGAGAUGUUCUCGUUGCUGCUCGCUCUUUGGUUUUGCCAAAGAGGGUUGUCCACGAUCAUGAAGAUCAUAAUCAGUUCUAGGGACACGCUGAGGAGCGCGCCUAUGAGCAGGAGGCUGGUUAUCCACAUCGUCUUUAAUUUGAUCUCGAUAUUGAGGCUCUUGAUUCAACCGCACCUCAUUGAUAGUAGCAGUCAACGCUCGAAGUGCAGCAGCCUGUUCGUCCAACUGUUGUUGGAAUUUUUUAAAUAUGUCACUAGUAUUAUCACCUGUAGACAUUUUUUUUAAAACCUGCAAAACACUCAACACUCAAAAAUAAAAGUUAUCAAACCUCACCGUUAAUCACUCAAAAAGAAAAAUUCUCAAUGAGGUCGAAUUCAAUCUUGUGAGUUCUUUAUCAGAGUUUAUAUCAACCAAUUAGAGAGUGUGAACCAAACUACCAAAGAAUCCUAAUUUGCACUAGGAUGCCAAAAACUGACGAGACACCAAUUGAUUCGUG